UUCAUCAACUUAGUAAAAAUCAUCAAAUUCCCACAACUCAAUUUCCGUGCUCCUUCCCCAUAUCUUCCGAACGAACCACAAAUGUAUUUUGAUCAACAUACAACAACUCAACAAAAUUAGAAAAUUAUUAAACACCUGCACCGCUAAUAUGUAGAGCUAUCAACAAUCAGGAAUCCCAACGACCGGACUUUGAAGACUGCGCACAUAAAAGGGAACAGAAAUUACGCUUGAAUUUUGCUUCUUUUUUUUUUUUGUUAAUCACUAAGAUCUAUGGAAAGUGGCAGAAGGCGUUACCGUCGUCUCAGGCUCCGGCGUGUCGCCGCCUUGCCGUGAAACCACGUCGGCGUUCGCGAAUUGGGGAUCGGUGUCGCGUGAGAAAAGGCCCCUUUGUUUUGAGCCCAGGGAUGAUGGCACAGCUCCACCCUGUCAGGUUGGGCCCUGGAUGCUUUCUAAGCCCACGAGGUUUGGCUCAAAGCUUGACCUCGUCUCAUCUGUAGUUUGGGCUGACACUACUCAUGGGCCUGGAUGUUAGUUAGACCGAUAUGUGCAUGUGCAUGGACAUGCCAUCUGAUUAUUUGAAUGAAUGCGUUCCGGACCACACGACACAUCCGAAUGCGGGCGCUGCGUGCCCAGCAGCAAUUUUUCCAGUACCCAUGCAUUCAACUGGCUACAGGGUCUGCAAAGACAGAUGGCGGCCAAACCGUCAAGGGCGCCGGGAGAUUGUUUGGCCCCUGUCGUCCUGGUCCUGGCGCGUCGUCGUCCUUGGCUAGCUGGCCGCCCUUGGAGCCGAGUGCAGCGCCGGCCCCCCGCGACCACUGCGGACCACCCGCAGCGCGAAAACGAAUCGGCGAACUGCACGUACGGGCGGAUCGGACCCUUGUGCGCGCGGAUCGCGAUGUCUGCCAGGCCAGGCCAGGCCAGUCUGCGCGACGUGGGACGGACGGGGAAUGUGGCUGAAAAGGGAAGCCGAACCGCCGGCUCCGGCGCCACGCGUCCGGCGUGUGCGGUCGAGGGAGGGGCAGGGCACUGUGCGCAUGUACGGCGCCCGGUCAGCCUGAGCUGGACUCCAAUUAACGGCCUUUGUCGCGAGACGGCGAGGUGUGGACGGCCGCCAACUCUCACUCCACGUCAUCAGCUUUGUACUCCUACCGUGCAUGGGCAUGGCGCUGAUGAGGCUCUCAUCGUCUCACGCUUGACAUUGCCUGCGACUGCGAGUAGACACACGGAUGUCAAUGCAUGGAUUUGAAUUACCAAAUGUCUGAAUGAAUUCAACUCAUGCACUUUGAUAUAUAGAUCUUGUUUUAGACGUGCAUAUUCGUUCUCCGGUGGUGAACCAAACGCAUUUGGAUUUGGAAGGCGGAAGGAAACUAUAUAUCCACAAAUCGAUGGGAGUUCCUUGCACACACCGGUGGAGGCAGCGUCAAGCCGUCAACUCAUUGCCAGGAAGCGGCGGCGGACGGCAUCCACACAUACGUUUUGUGUGCCGCUUCCCCUGCACGCCGGGGCUCGUUGCCAUCUACCGCGCUUCUUCUACGACGCCUAGGCCUGAAAACCAAAAAGUUUUCAAGAUUCCCCGUCACAUCGAAUCUUCAAUCUUGUGGCACAUGCAUAAAACAUUAAAUAUAGACGAAAAUAAAAACUAAUUACACAGUUUAGCUGUAAAUCACGAUACGAAUCUUUUGAUCCUAGUUAGUUCAUAAUUGGAUAAUAUUUGUCACAAAGAAACGAAAGUGCUACCGUACCGAAAACUUUUCACUUUUCGGAACUAAACAACGCCCUACUCGUGGACUCUCGUGGUGCAUCAAGGGGGAGCAUCUUCAUCGGUCUCCACGUGAACCUUGUGUACUUCGCGGAGCUCAACCACAGAAUUUUCAAUUUCUUCCAGUGACAUAGAGUUCACUAGUAUUAAUAUUUAAAAUUUAGCAUAAACUGUUCUUACUAAAUACCUCAUAUAGUGAGGAUUGCUUAAUGCCGUUACUAGUAAUAGUAUUUUAUUACUAAUUUAAAAUACUAGAAAAGCUCUACUGUUUUAAAUAGUGUAUUGUGGACAAGUACUAUGACGACCAACGCAUCGGCAUAGGCAUCCUCGUCAAUGUGGCCACGAGUCCGCCUCAUAAGGACAUGACAUCUAUUAAUCUAGGAAAGAAUAUAAAUCUCGUUUUCUGAGGAGUCAAACAGUUUGAAUUUUGACUAAAUUUAUAUAAAAAACUAUCAUUCAUGGUAUAUAAUAAGUAUCAUUAGGUUAGUUAUAAAUUAAGUUUUAUAAAAAAAAUUAUGUUUGAAGAAAUAAAUACUAAUAUUAUUAAUUUACUAUAAACUCGGUCAAACUUGAGUUAUUUUGGCUGACACGGAUCCUAUAAUUGCAUUCUUUCCUGGACGGAGGUAGUACGUUCAUUGAAUAUGAGACGAGCUCAUUCCUAUAUUUACGUAAUAUAUAAUAUGAUUUAAAUCAUGUUUCUAAGCAUGUUUAUUUGUAAAAUUGAGAAUGCUUUGUGAUUUGUGAUUAUAUAUCAAUUUGAUUGUAUGCAAUAUUUAUAUGCCAAUUUGAUUAUAUGAUCUAUGAUCAUUUGUUUAUUCGAUGAUAUGCAUUGUGAAUCUAUGCCAUGAUGAAUUUCAAUUCAUAAAUUAAGGAGUGCAUGUUAUUACAAGACAACUAAAAGGACAUCUCAUUGGUAAUAACUAAUAAGUUGUCUAUCCAGCAGACUCAUGAUUACAUGAAACUAGAAGCACACUCCGCGCGUUGUUGUGUGGAAUUUUAUUCAAAAUAAAUAUAUAUAUUGUGCAUAUAAAUUAAUUUGAUUUGUAUGUUACUUUAUUAUAUCAGAUCUGGUAAAAAAGUUACUAAGCUAAUAGAAGAAAAACCAAUAGAAUAUUUGAUCACAUUAUAGAAGAAUAGUUGAUGAAAUAGAUAUCAUAUGUAAAUGAAUAAUAUAUAUUAGAGAUUAAAAGUAUUGCACAUAAUAGAGAUGUUGUGGGCAUUUCUAUUAUAACUAAUAAGGGAUGAUGUGGCUAAUAGAAGAAAAAUCAAUAGAAUAUUUGAUCAUAUUAUAAAAGAUAGGUGAUAAAACAAAUAGCAUUUGUAAAUGACUUUACGUUAAUAGAUUAGAGAUUGAAAGUAUUGCACAUAAUAGGAUGAUGUUGAUAUUUUUUAAUUAAUAAGGGAUGACGUGGAUAGCUUACAUGAAAGGAUUACAAAUUAGUGGGACACUUAGUGGUGGAAUGAUGUGGACACCUUGCUUGAAGAGAGAAAAGAUUUAGUGAGAUUUAGCUUUAUAAGAUAAGACUAUGUGGACUCAAUGGUGUCGUUAGGCUCUUAGCAGAUCGCUCCAAGUCAUGAAAGCAUUGUGGUGUAUAAAAUUAUACUAUACCAAAAAAACUAUAGAUCCAUAAUAGAAGAAGCAAGAUCAUCUUAGAUUAAAUCUAUGUAAGAGACCUAAUAAGGAACUAGAUAAAGACUUCAAAAGUCGUUUCAUGGCUAAUAGAGCUCACUAAGAUGAGACCAAAGGCUACUUGAUUUGGCAUCUGCUGAAACUGCGCAAUCAUGGGAUAAUAAUAGAAAAAAAAGAACAAUUAAGAUGAGAAAGAUUACAAUAGCUCUUUACUUAGAGUUGAAGCCCAUGCCAAUAAAGGUGCAUCGAAAGAAAUUAUAAUCAAAUAAAUAAAGAGAACUAUUAAAAAAAUAUUUGAAAUAAAAAAUCUAAAUACCAUAAUAAGCAAACUAGCUCCUCGCACUAUUACAGGCCAACUUGAUUGUUUUACAAAUUGCAGAAACAAUCAUACAUUAUUAAACUUGAUAGCAACACAUACUAUUCGUUUUAAAUCCAGUUUUGCUACCAUCUAAUGGUGGGUUUUGUGCAGCAAAAUAUUAAUUUUGGAACCCCAAAAUUGUUUAGUUCAACAUGUUUAUUAAUUAAGAUGGCAACACAAAAUCGUAGAUCAAAAGGGGGGCAAUACCGCUCCCCCUGUUUCGGGUGAUGAAUACUAUAUAUAGCAACGACGAUACUGGACCACUGAUGUCCAGACAGCUUAAUUACAUUCUCAUCAUUAUCGGGGAAAGCCAAAGAAAACGAAAAGAGAACGCUGCCGUUUCUUCUCCUUCAAAAUAUUUUUGAUUGAGGAGAAGGGCGAGCAAAGAAAAAAAAACAAGAAAUAAAGAAAAAACAUCUCUAGCUAGCUUGGUUAAAUUAAUGCCUAAGUCAAACUAUUAUAUCCUCCACAUCAUCGUCAUCGGUCUGACGCCCCUUUCUGUCCACCGUACUGUUCUCCCUCCAUAGUUUGACAGGCAAGCCAUGCUUGGGCACAGGGAAUGGGCUGUACUCGACCUCAUCACUGGAUCCAACAAUCUCCCACCUGCAAAUUAAACAAAAGCAUGCACACGCCAAUCAGUAUCUCAGUGUAUGUAAGUAAGAUCGAUCAACAUAUAUAUAAACAACUCAAACUGUCGUUAUGAAAACUCAUCAGUAUAUAUCUCCCACGUGCUGAUGACGAUGAUGCUCAUAUAGGAGGAGAGGUGCAGUGGGCGAUGGAUCGAGUGGCACCAGCCAUAUGUGUCGUCCUGGUGCACAAGGGUAUGUACAAGCGGAAAUAUAGGGAGAAGCUGCGAGGAGAUGAACGCACCUGUAGGCGGUGACCAGGUGGUGGAUGAGGACCAGCAUCUCGAGCUUGGCCAGCUCGUUCCCGGGGCACGCGUGCACGCCGUUCCCAAAUGGCAGGAACGUGUUCGGCCGCGGCGCCACCUGCAUCAUGUGCAACGUCGUCGUUCCACAAACGACCACAGAAAAAAAAAACGAGGCUGAGAUCAGCAACGUAUUGCGAGCAUCAACGUCAACUACAGCAACGGUGAGGAUCGAGACCGGAUACUGUACCUGGAAUCUAGAAGGGUCGAACUUGUGUGGAUCCUGGAAGUAGUCCGGGCUGUGAUGGAUGCUCCUGAAGAGCGGCAUCACCUUCCACCCCUUGGGGAUAAGGAACCCUAGAACACGCCAAGGGAAAUACAAGGAAGAAUCCGAGUCAGAAUUAAACCCCUCUUGCUAGCUAGUUGCUGCUACGUGCAGAAAAAAAGGAGUGCCAAGCAGCGCCUCUACGGUGACGUAGCUCCACGCCGACCACAGACGACAGGCUAGCUGCAGAAGCAUGCGUGUACGCGCACGUGCGUACCUUUGUACUCCACGUCGGCCACGGCCUCCCUGAAUGUGAAGGAGAUGAUGCUCGCCAUCCUUAAGCUCUCCAAAAUCACCUGAACAGAAUAACGGCGCCAUCAGUAACCACAAGAUAUCCGAAAACACACGCUGUCAGAGGUUUUGUUUGCGUUUUUUCCAGCACGCGCGUACGUACCCUAUGCGUCAGCGCCAUGCUCCUCGUGUGCGCCCACGUCAGCGGCAGCCUACCGCCGUCGGUGGCCUCGCGGACGGCCGCCUGCUCCGCCCGGACGGCCUCCAGGAGCUUGGGGUGGUCGUGGAGGUACUUGACGAUCCAGGUGAGCACGCUGGCCGUCGUGUCCUGCGCCGCGAACAGCACGCCGAUGAUGUUGUCCGCGACCUGCUCGUCGCUCAGGAGCGGCGCGCCGUCGUCGCCCUGGGACUGCAUCAGGCAGCCCAGCAGGUCGGUGCCCGGCUCGCCGCGCUCCCGCCGCUCGCGCAUGAUGUCGCUCAGCACGCCCUGCAGCCGCCGCCGCGCCUACAGUGUUUCCACGGUUUCACAUCAUGCAUGCAUGUCAGGGCACUGCCGUUGCCAAGGCGUACGGUACGGGGACGCCAGAAGGUACUAGAGAUCAGCUGUGCUGUAAAUGCAUGCCGUUGCGUUGCGUGUGCUCACCUGCAUCGCCUUGUAAUAGAGCGUCCCCGGUAGGCUGUUGGGGAAGGAGUUGUACCCCUUCUCCACGAUGGAGUAGUUCUUCCUUAGCUCCGCCUUGCGCCGCUCGUCCAGCCGGCCGCCGCCGAAGAUCAUCACGAUGCCCACAUCAAACGACAGCUGAAACGUAACAAGAGGUUCUCAGACAUCCGAUUCAUUCGACAUUACGGACAUCACCAUUGGCGAUGCAAGCUUGCUUGCUUACCGUCUUCAUGGCGUGGAACGUGCUCCUGACAUGGCCGUCCCAGGAAGCGAGAGUGGAGCGCACGGCGGCCUCGACCUCAGGGACGAGCGCGCGGAGCGCGUCGGGGCCGAGCGCGCCCUGGACGAGCUUGCGGAUGCGGAGGUGGUAGUCGCCCUGGUGGAAGAAGAGCGCCGACGGCCCGAUCAUGCGCUCCUUGCUCCGAGGGUAGGUCGGCUUGAACAGGUGCGCCUGCGUCACCAGGACGAACCGCGCCGCCUCCGGGCUCGCCAGCAUCACGCAGGGGUAACCCAGGAGGUGCGUCUUGAAGAUCUCGCCGUACCUCUUCUGUUUGGAGGCGAAGAAGAUGUUGGGGUCCUGGGAGUAGAGCUGGAGGGUCUCGCCGAGGUAAGGCCAGCCCAUGGAGCCAGGAGGCAGCGACUUCAAGGAAGAAGAAGCCUGCUUCUCAUGGCCGCCGCCGGAGCGGCCUCUCCCCUUCUGCCAGCGUGCGUACUGGAAGUAGUAGGCGAUGGCUAGAAAAAUGAGGGUGCAAGCAAGGAUGAAGAAGAAGGCCAUCCAAUAACUGAUAUGCUUAGAAGCAGAUCAGCUGCUGCGAUUGCAGACUGUCGUUCCGCUGAGUUUUGGUUUGAGCUUGUGGGUUCUGUGUGUGUGUGAGAGCUUGCUUUAUAUGUUGGUGGCUAGGAGGAGAAGAGAUCGAGACUGUCUUGUGUGUGUUGUGAGGAGAGCGCGCGCGCGAGAGAGGGACAGAGAAGAAAAAUCUUGGAUGGACGGAUCUUUCGAAUGGUGGAGGUCGAGGCAACGCCUUGCGUGGUAUUUAUAGAAGGAGCGCUGCUGGCAAGUCUCAAGAGCAUAGGUUAAAGUCAAGACCGGUAUGUGGAGGAUAAGGAUCUCUUUGGUAGGACUCCUCAUGAUGACUUUGGCUCUUUUGAAAGAGCCUUACUAAAUAUUUUGUAAAGAAGCUGUUUUUACGACCGAAGCCGCAUCUUUCUGGAGAAGCCUUACUAAGUACCCCCUAAGUUCUAGCUCGGCUUGAGCAAUUAAGCAUGUGCUUGUCCAAAAGCGCAUCAAUUGAAGCGAACACUCCUUGAUAUGAUGUUUUAGUUUUGUUUAAUGUAAAACAUUUCUGUUUCAGCCAUCAAUUUGUACAAAUUUGUAUACUUUAUUACUAUCAUAAGAUUUAUUUUUUUAGGUUAACUAGAAAUACUUUCAUAAUAUAUAAUUCAGAUGUUAAAUUACAUGAGUUUAUAGGAACCGAUGAUAGAAAAUAGCAAUAUUUUUUUGACUCAGAAAAUAGCAAUAUUUAACUCAAGACAAAACUAGAAUUACAACCUUUAUGGAACGGAGGGAAUAUUUUGGAAUCGGCUAGAUCUUCCUUGUGUCCCCACAUAGUCCUUAGGUUUCUAAACAUUUUUGUUUAAUAAAUCACAUAUGUGCUUUUAUACUGACCACAAAUAUGAAAAAAAUGUUGUUUGAUAAGUCAUCCGAAAAUGAUAUGGGAUACGCAUAAAAGGUCCAUUUUGACAACCCUUAUGAUUCAUGGUUUUAAUUAUUUUCAUUUUGAUAAAUUUAAAAAACAACCCAUUGUUGUUUAUCAAAGAGUAUGACUGGAAACUCAUCAAAAAUAAAUUUCAUGCCUCACUACCUAUAUUUACUUGCUCAUCGGUUGAGAUAUGGAAAUCCACAUUGUUAAGAUCUGUGGAAAUUAAAACGCCAUUGUUGUUUACCAAAGAGUAUUACUGGAAACUUAUCGCUUUUCUCUUUUAUUUGAAAGAUGUGGAUAAUCAAGGAUUCACAGAAUAAGAAACAGUGAAUUGCUCCAAAGCUAUCACUAGCUGCGCCUAUGUUAUUUAUGUUGAACACCAUAUAUAGAACUUGUUGAGAUAUAUACCUUCUAAAUUACCAUAGAACUUGUUCUCUCCUUCACCAAGCUCUAGACAGUAGUCGCCUAUACUAUAUCUAGCAUUAUUUGUAAUCAGGUUUAGAUCUCUGCAUCUUACUCUCCACCUUCUAAUAUACAAGCUCAAGACACAGAGUAUAUUACUCCGUCUUAUAUGUCUUAACUAGUAUAAAACUAUGUGAGCUUCGUGUUUAUGAUCUGUGUGAUCUAUCCAUACUUGAGGUCCUUGGAGAUUUAGUCGAUUUUAGGCCUUUGACAAUGUUAUACAUAACAACAUUCUCAUGUUUAUAAUAGUGCAUUAGAAAUGUUAAUUAUCAUUGGGUAGUGUACAGUUGCGCUCUAUUCGGGCAAAAAUAGCGAUUUAGGUGUAAUUUUUUUUAUCUAAAUGUUGUUAUAUAAUAUUCAAUAUAUAGAUACUACCCCAUCCAUUUAGAUUAUAUGUCGUUCUGAUUUUUUUAGAUAUAUAGUUUUAUUAUACAUCUAGAUACAACAUAUCAAGAUACAUAUCAAAUGCUCUGCACCUAAAAGGACAGAAGAGCUUAAAAUUUGGAACGGAUGAAGUAUGAGACAACAAAAGCACUUAUAUAAAGAAAAAUCUACAUUAUACGUUUCUAUAAAUUAAAUGCUUUAGAAGUUGUUCAUGGGCGAAACUCUAAAAGUUUGAUCAGAUUUUGGUGAAAAUUUCGAGUAGUUUUAUUGCCGAGGGUAAGUUUGCUUGAUAUUGGUACAACAUCAAGGCCUUGUUUAGUUCCCGAUGGGAAAUAUUUCGCGACACUGUAGCACUUUCGUUUGUUUGUGGUAAUUAUUGUCCAAUAAUAGACUAACUAGGCUCAAAAGAUUCGUCUUUGUCAAUUUCGACCAAACUGUGUAAUUAGUUUUUAUUUUCAUCUAUAUUUAAUACUCCAUGUAUACGUCUAAAGAUUCGAUGUAAUGGGGAAUCUUGAAAAUUUUUGAGUUUUUGGGUGGCCCAAGUGUACCCGAAAUCACCAUCUGAUGUCUUCGCAAAAAUACAAUUUGAACAGUGCGCAAGCAAUGCAAACAAUGUGUUGUAUCGCAAGAUCACGUGUUCCGUGCACGAAGGAUCCAACGGUGUCAGAUUAGUAUUUGAUGACAAGGGUCGCACCAACGACGACACCCCGGCCGGGGGCCCGUUUAAUUGGCCGACCCGCACCCACGCGCGGCCGUCCUCGGCGCCAGGACGGACGGACGGCCAAGCGGCAUGUGCCACGAGAUCGCAGCCAUGCAAGCAUGCGCGCGCGACCUCGCCGGUGCCCGCGGGGCGCCAGCUGGGGCUGUGUCGUGUGGUCUCUAUCCUCUACCUCCGCCGGGGGGGGCGGGGGGCGGGGGCAAUCAUGAGGACGAGCAAAGGCAGGGCCAUCAUCCCCGUACGCAUCAGCGGCGCGGCCUCGCGUCGUAUCUGCGCGAGAUCGGGUCGGCCAGGUGGAGGCUCCCGAGAGUUCCAGCUGCCCGACGGGGGCCCCCGGGCGAACCUGGUGGUGUGUGCGUCGACGUCGCCGUCGCGGCCAGGUCGGACUCGGACGGGGCUAGCUUCGAGACGGUUCUCGGCAGCCGCGCCCACCCCUUUUGCGUUGCGCUAGCCUUGCGCCUCCCGCACGGCCGGGAACUGCACUGCACGGUUGCCUCCCCGCGCGGGCGCGGCCCCCUCCUGUUCCAGGACGUGAACAGCUCGCGACUUGGCUGCCAGAGCCCAUUUGCAUGCAACUCGCGUCAGUGAUGUGCACGCAAACGCAACAAAUUGACUAGGAACACCGUGCCGCGAGCGACCUGCAGGCUGCAGCUGCCAAUCGGCGGCUGCAGUGAUAGUACUGGUAGCUACAGUAUAUGCGAAUGCCAUUGUAUUGGUCUGAAUGAUAUUUUUAUCGUUUUCACGGCGGCGAAACAAAGGAAAUAUCAAGAACAUACCAGUGGCUUCCGCUCCACAGUUGCAGAGCAGAUUGACCUCGGUGAGAAGCCAUGCAUGGCUUCUUUGUGGCCGGGCCGCAAUGCUGACGAGGAUGAUGUGGCACUGGUACGACGUCCUAACAUCUGAUGAGGGUGCGUAGCACUUGCAUUGUUUUGCAUGACUGUAUACACGAUAGCUCAGCAGGCCAAUGCAUAUCUGUUUCUUCUCACUACGAACGUGUGUUCUGGAACUCUGACGCAACUUGCAUUGAGCUAUAAUUCGCCGCGGUUUCGAUUUGUUGUUCUUUCUUGUUGGAUGGAUGUUGUGGAAGGAAAGAAACACGAGAACCUUCAAUGAGACGUCAAGGUUGGUGGUGCAGCUGCUCUAGGGCAUUGAAGAUGAGAUUACCAUGUGGACUGCGGCAAGGGUACCGGCACUUAGAUGUGUUGGACUCGCUUUCGCUGGGGCAGAUUGAGGUAAUUUGUCGUCUUAGUUUUAACAAUAAUCUUUGGAUUACUGUUUUGGUGUAUUGGCUAUAACAAAACUCUUUUUCUUUGCUUAAUGAAAUAUGUGCCAAGCGUGUUUUUGAAAAAAAAAAAACUUGCAUUGAGCUACAGCAUAUAAGGAUAGAUACUUAGCUCACGAAGACAGUAAUGUUGCACGAUUUACUUAGCUUGGAUUCCACGAUAUAUAUUUCAUUUUCCAUGGAAUUAAUUAUAAGGGAACAUCGGCUACUACAUCUGUGGUGCAUCUUGAAGCAGGGAACAGAAGGAACCAAAUCAUGCAAUGCAUGACAUGGUGAUGAUUUGUAUCCCGGCUUCCACUGUUCCAUUCCCUGCACGAUUCUUCAGUUUAGCGAACGUAUAUACGUGUCUCGGGCAUCACCACAUGAUAGGAUCAAGGAUAUAUAGUUUGUGCACACAGUGUUCCUGUCAAAGAUAGUUCUCGUGUCUUUCUUAUUUAAAAAAAGUCUUCCGUCUUGUGACGGGUAUACAUUGCAUUCUCGGGUAAGUUAUAAUAUUAGCAGCUCGAACGUCGAAAGGAACUGCUUCAUGAUCACGUGAACCAAGCUAGCUUUAAUUCUGAAAAGCUAUGUAUAGGUGAUAGUCUUGCAAAACAAUCAACAGGGUCUUGCCUGCAUCUCUUCGAAUUCUAAAGUUUCUAAGAAACAUGUGAAAAUCCAUUUUUCUUCGCUUAUAUUAACAGUUUUGAUGUAUCUAUAUAUCUAUACUUAGAGUAGUCCAGCCUCUUCUGAAGUCAUUCGUAUCGAUCAAGUUCUAGUCUCUUAUCUAUGUACCAAUGCUCUCGAUUAGACAGGAAACUAGCUAGUACGCUCGAGCUUGGUCAGCUUUGAUGUGAUGAUCCUUCUGCUUAUGAUCUCGCAUUGCAUGCUACGAAUAAACGUAACAAAAAACUGUAUAAGCUCUCGGCAUCGAUCAAGUAGAAUAUAGAUUGAUCAAGAUCACUCUCGGGCCCGGCCAACUUUUGGCCGCUAGCUAGCUAAUGGCACAGUAACUACUUUCUCCUGAAAGCUCAGUGCACAGCACCUGAGAUUCGACCGUGGCGUGGACACGGCUGUGACUUGUGAGAUGAGAUGAUAUUACGUGCGCUGAUCGGCGUACGUAACCGACCUCGACGUGACCCGGCCCGGCCUUUCUCUGGCCGUUGGCCCUUAGCUGGAAGCAGUGCCCGCCCAUGCAAGUAGCGCGCGUUCGAUCGCGCGCCAUAGCCAACAGUGGCUCGGAUGUUCGCACCUGCAUGCGCCGGCCACGGCCAUCCUGCUGGCCCUGGGCCAGCACAGCAUGCAGUGGUGUGGUGUUCCACCGGCCAGUCGCUCCCGAUCGACGACGUCGCUGUCGCCGAGAUCCGCUCUAGAACCGGCCGGCCGCCGUGGGUUGGGUACGUCUCGGAAUUUAUUGCGUCCCGCGGCACGGCAGGGCCUCCCUGGCCACACCUCAGCGGCGUAAUCGCCAUGGCAACUGGGUGAUCGAUCCCGCUCGCCUCGGCGUCAGCUUGGCCAGCCAGCCGGCACAUGAACGACCGCGACAACACCAGACGGCGUCCACAUCAGCCGGAGCACACGCUCUCAUGAGUCAUGUCACGCUGACGCGCGCCGGGAUCGCCCCGGAUCGGUCGAUCCGCCAUCUGCUGGGUCCCCGGAGCGCUAUCCGAUCCGUUCCGCGACGUGCAACUUGAAGCCGCGCCCGGCCGGAGAGGAGUGGCCACGGCCGCGCUACGGUCCACCGACCCAGCCGUGGGGGUUGCGGACGUCAAGCUGCGCGACGGCAGCCAGGGCCCCAUGUCGGCGCCUGGCCGGACGACCGCCGGGAUGGGCCUCGCCGUCGCCGUCCGCGUGUUGCCGCGGGCGCCGGCCGUGUCCCCGGUCGCGGCGCGGGCCACACAUAUGCAUGGCUCCGUCGCUCCGAAAUAGCCCUUUUCGCGCGCGCGCCUCGUGCUCGUCAGGUGAUGACACGCGCACUGCGACUGUGUGCAAGCUGACGAUGGCGUGAACGUGAUGGUGACCCAACAGUUUCGUGAUCGGGGAUCAGCAUCCGGCGGGCACCGACCUCUUUGCAACUUGGUACGGAUCAAACUGUGCAUGAUUGUCGAUGCAAGGGAUACUGGGAUAGGGAUUAUUUUGCUGCCGGUGAACGCUUGUGCACAGCGCAUCCAUGUCACCCUAGGUUGGAAGGAGUACAGUCUUGUUUGAAUGUCUUGUGUGUUGGUGUGGAUUGGGAUGGAAUUUAGUUUAAAUUUCACUCCAAUCCACCUCAAUACAUGUGGAUUGAUGUAAAUACGACUACAUCCAAACAAGGUCUUAAAAACGACGCGUUGUGUAUUUGGACAAAAUUAAACAUGAUAUACUGCCAACUUUUAUUUCUAAAGUUUCAGGGUAUACACAAGCAUGCGCGUUCGGUGGUUAUACACAUUUCCUACGCACUGAAGGUCAGGAGCCUUCCAAUCCCUUUCUUUGUGUGUGUAGGGAUGCACAGAAAUGUGUACAUGUAGUGUAAAUGUGGAGUGUGUGGGCGUGUGCGUCGAAGUUGUACCUAAUUUAAACAAAAAGAAACAAAAUAUCUGUAAUUUAGUACUAUCUCUAUCUUGAAAAGAAUGUAACUAUGAGUUCCAUGCCACGAAAAUUAGUUCAAGUUUGAUCAAGUUUCUAGUGAAUAAUAUUUAUAUUUAUGGCCUUAAUAAUUUAUCAUAAAAAUAUAUUUCUUGAUUAAUUUAAUGGUGUUUAUUUGGUAUCAUAAACAUAAUUCUUUUUAUUUAUAAUUGGUCAAAUCUAAGGUACUAAAACAAGACACUGUGCUAGAAUUGUAUUUUUUCUUGAACUGAGGUAGUAGACUUUAAGCAUCUCACCAAUAAUAGACAGGAUAAUAACAGCUUGAAUUUGCAUCUAAAUUAAUAAAUUAUCAUCCCUACCAUUACAAAAUAUAAUUUAAAACAACCCUAUAAAUUACAUAUAAAUUAGUCACCUAUGUUAUUAUAAAAAUAAUUUUAAAUAAGACACUAGUUUUUUAAUCUAAACUACCGACAUAUGUUCCUAUGAAUAACGCAAAGUAACAAUAAGUUUGUAUCAAACAAUUCACGUCUGCCAUUGAAAAAUAACAUAAAAUAAUUCCAUACCUCCAAUAAAAAUAAACUAAAAUAUUUCUAUUUAUGCCUAAUAUUAAAGUACGAAGCCUUGAUGUGGUCCUUAACUCUCUCCCAUGCCUAUAAGAGUUAGAACAAAGUGUCUAGACAUGCAAGGUGCACAGGCUGGUCCAAGAUAAAUUAGAUAUGUAGCAUUUCUAUGGUCUAUCACUCUCUUCAGGGACCGUACUGAGUUGGAGCAACUUGUUCAAGCAUGGUGCAAAGUCUAAUUCCAAUAUGAAUUAGAAUACAUGACACGAUCAUUAGAUAAAUCUUCUCCGAUUCUAAAAUGAAUGACAUGAUCACUAAUAAAUCUCUUGAGCCACAUGUCAUCAAAGUGAUUGCGCAAUAAGUUGUACGUCUAGUUAAAAUGCAUGGGCUUGUUUUCUAAGCCACAAAGGAUGCUAUCUAAAUUACACACCACCAUUCAAUUAAAAAGUAGCUAGAAUGCUAUAUGUCACCGUUUAGAUCAAGCAACAUGGAUAAAUUAGGAUAAAUAUAUAUUUUAAUAGUUGAUCAUGCCUGAAUAAAUGUUUCUUUAAUCAAACCAACAAACUAUGAACAAUGAUACUAAUAAUUCACUUUAAAUUUAUUACUAUAUUCCAUGACAAUAAACUUUGUAAGGGGUUAAUUUUAGUAACUUUGUACACUUUGACUCAAUGGUGGAAAUUUAAUUUUAAUGGAUGUAUAUUUUUAUAAAUUAAUAUCAUUUCACAUAUAACUCUUCGACAUAGCAAAUUCUGCACUAAGUUCAAUGACGCAGCUUGAAACAUCUAUUUAUGCCAUUGUAGUACCUAAGAAUGUCAUAUAUGAUCUAGAAUAUUUCUUUUUAAUGAAACUUAAAAGAAAAUAAUUGAGCAAAAUAUGCAAUAAGCGUGAGUGUAAGGUCUCGUGAGUGCCCAAGAGGUGGGGUGAAGUGGGUGAAACCUUAAUCCUAGGUCACAAUGAAAAUUACCACUAGCAAAUUAAAACCAUAAACCAUGUAGCAUGUUUAUGUGCACUUAAGAUUUUUCUGUUGUGAUCUAACUUACCCAUAAUCCGAAAGAGUUUUGCAACCUAAAGUCAAUCAUAUCAACUAAGCUAUAGCUAAUCUCGAAAGGUAAAGAUCACACAAGCAAAGCACAUAUAGAAACACCAAAUGUGGUAAGUAAAUAUGUUGACAUAAAAAGCCCAAACCCCUCAGAGACGAGAUGAUUCUAUGGUAUUGAUUCUAUAAACGCAAACCAUUGUUGAAUAGGCUUACAAUUCUUUCAUUUCAACAAAGUGCACAUGGCCAACCAAUACCAGUCUUUGUUGGUUUCCAAACCAGCCUAAGUUUGUUUCGGCAGGGUUGCACUGCUAGUCAGCCAAAACUAGCCAAACCAGUUUUUCGACACCCCGCACACAAAAAUGUGUGUUUGUACUCCCCCACUCAUUAUUAGACAGAAGGAGAAGCUCAAAUAUGAAAUUUAAAUAUGAAAGGGAGGCGAACUAAGACAAGAGACACAUCGAUGUAUUUCUCGAAGUCCGCAUCCCCACUAGACCCAAUGUCGCGGCUAACAAAGCCAUGAGCGACCGCUCAUGAUCAAGCUCUAGAUGCUUGCAACUACUUUCAUCGUUCCACUAUGUAACACCCAAAAUUUGAUUUUCAAAUAAUAGGAUUUAAUUUAAUUUAUUUAAGUACUUUUGUGGGCAUAGAAAACUAGCAACUAAAUAAUUGUGUGGGAAUUAAAAUUCAUUAUAGGUUUAGCAACCUUGAUUGAGCAUUCAUGCUGGAGCAUCUUUAUUUAUUUGUGCUGCUGGUAUUUGUUGGAUUUUAUUUGCUCUCAAAAUUUGAUUUUAAAAGGCUUUGGAAAAUUAAAAAAAAAAGAAGGAAAAAAAAACAGCCGGACUCGGCUUGGUGGCCAAUUGGCCGUGAGGCCCGAACUGGCCAGCAGCGCGCGCACUCCCUCCCUCUCCCUCCUUUCUUUGGCUGACGGUUGGGGCCUGCGUGUCAGCGUCGCCUUCCUCCUUCCUCUCGCCGUGUGCGGGUUGGACUCGUCCGGAAGCCAACCGCACCGAAUCAAAUCCUGAGAAUCCGGGAUUUCUUGCUAUACCGUGCUCUAUAAGACUCCCAAGCACCGCGGCGGGUUUUCCUUUGCAUCUAAACCACGAAAACGUGACCUAGCUCCAUUUAUCCGCGACAGUUUGGAUCUCGCCGAGGUUGAGUCGAGCCCCACCGCCGCGCGCUCCUCCUACUCCCUUUCGGACCGAACCGAGGACGCAGUCGACUUCGCGGUGAGCUGCUCGUCAUCCCGGAGUUUUUCUUUCUUGAAACGGUGCUCGGAAACGAGAAGUCAGCGGACGACGCCGGCGAGCUUCCGUCCUGGCCAUGCCGCCGUCGACCGGAGCUGGGAACCAGCCGGCCACCGCCUGCUGCCCCCUGGAGGAGAUGUGGACCGUCGGAUUUGAGAUCAAGGGCUGAGAAUCAAAGAUACCCUUUCAGGACAUAUUUUGCUAAAGAGACCCUGGAAAAUUCAAAUAUAUAACCCGCAGUCCAAGGCGCCCUGAGUAUAAUACGUUUUCCAACUGAGAAAACGUAUUCUAACCGGCUGAGUUCAAAAUACGUUUUCUGCUAUUUACAGUUUUGCCAUUGAUUUUGUUUUGCUUAUAAAAUGCUCAUAUUAACUCCGUUUUUGUCCAUUCAAAUUCCGUUAGAUUCGUAUUUACGAUCUCUACAUGUUAGAAGAAUUAGUUUACUGUUUUGAAACUUUUUAAUUCUGCAGUAGCAUUUAAUUAAUUAUUUCUUUAUAGGAAAUCUUAGAAAAUUCAUAUCUUUCACGUUUUAAUUCCGAUUUUCGUAAACCUUACGUUUGUGUGAUCGUAGCGCUGCGUAGAAUAUUUUGAUAAACUUUUAUAUUUGUUUUACCACUGUUUGGUGUAAUGUUCUAAUUAUACCUUGUUUGCUUUGUGUAUGAUUGUCUCCAUUGGAUUGCGUGUUGUUGAUUGAUGUUUGGGAAUAGACGGUGAGCUGUACGUUGGUGAUCAAGACCAAGCUUUUGAAGACCAGCGGGCUCAGGAGAGCUUUGGUCAAGGCAAGUAUAACUUGGGAUUAUCCUUGCUACCUAUUCACUUAUAAUUACACAUAUAUAUCAUAUGCAUGCUAUCACCUUGUCGACCUUAGCAAAAUCAUAGAUGAUUGUUACCUGGAUUCCUUGUUACCUACUUGAUAUGCAUUUGGUGUAGAUGUGCUAGUGCUUGAUAUAAUCCAUGAUCUUGUAAGAUGAUUAAUAGAUAUGCAAUGAACAUAAAAGAAUGACAAAUAACUGUAUGAGAUCUUGUCUGUAAGUGAUCACCGGGACAACAGUGCAACCAUGAGGGCUAUAAUGGCUCUGGCUUUAGCUCAGUAUGAAGACCUUUUCUAGCUUGUUAGAGGUUACCCGAAAGGGCGGAGGGGCUGAACCGACACGGGUAUAGUGCGAGCCCCUGUCCCUAUGUGUAUAGGCUGCGCGUCAUUGUGCCAUUCGGAAGGGGGGUAUCUAUAUCUGCGCGCAAAGGAAACCUUGCGGCCCUAACAUGUUAGACGAACUUUUGAAAGGCUUCAUAGUGAUCCCUGCCGACCUUCCUUGGUAGUGGGUUAAGAGGUCGACGGGGCUCGGGCGAAAGGGUAAAUCAUGACUCAUGGGUAAAGAUGUACAACCUCUGCAGAGUGUAAAACUGGUAUACUAGCCGUGCUCACGGUUAUGAGCGGCCUUGGGGGUUCUUGCUGCGCCGACGAUGAGCUUAUUAAGUUGUUAUGUUCAUUUGAUUAUCGUUUAUGCUAUGAAUUAAUUAUGCUUACACUUGAUCAUGGGAUUAAUGGAUUAUUUAUGUUACCUUGACAAUUGCUCAUUAAUUAUGAACAUGCUAUCCACCAUUAAAAGCUAAAUGCAGUCAAACCAGUGUCAGCCAUUUGAGCCUCAUGAACCCCUGGUUAUACUUGUUGAGUACGAUAUGUGCUCACUCUUGCAAUUUCCCAACACCUCAGGAAAUGAUAAUGAAGAUGUCUGGAAUGAGGAUUACCGUUAUGAGUACUAGGUUUGGAGUCAACCAGUCAACAGUGUCCCUGUGUGGAGCUUCCGUCGAGAGCGUUGUUUACUUUAUGCUAUCAUUUUUGUAUGAGACUAUGUGAUAUUUUAUAUUCCGCUAUGUAAUAAACACUGCGAUGGUACAUUUGAGAUUUGUCUACUUAUGUGUGCGACUGUUUCUGGGGCACAUACGAGUCUUUUAUGCACCCUAUUUUGUUCUUAAAAUAUGGGUGUGACACACUAGAUCAUAUUGUUUCCCUUUCGAGGGCAAGAUCGCAGCGUGCAUGAACUAUCCUGUGACACUCCACAAGUUGGUUACUUCAAUAGUAACUAAUGCUUCACCAUGAAAUUGUUGCUGCCACGAAGUGCUCAAGGCUUUGCUCAGUCCUCUAAUGCUGACAUAAGCACACAGGGGCUCUAAUCAAUCUCACCAAUCCAAUGUCACUCGAAUCCCAUGAAAGGUGGAUUUGGAGCUAGCUCUAAAUAAAAUAAAAGUCGGUGUAGGAAUGUUCAAGGACACUUUCAAACAUUGUUCUAGCUUGGUAUUUCCAUUUGGUUCAACCUUGAUGAACUUAUCUUGAAUAGAUGCAGCCAUUAGCACAAACAUACUGAAGAGGCCUUACACUAAGCGUGUUAUGAUAAUUCAUGUUCUUCUUCUUGCCAUCCAUUUUUUUUGUUCUUCAUGAUUUGCUUGGACCGGAAGGACUUGUGGUCUUAUUGAUAACACUUGAAGCAAUCGCUAGAUAUGGAUAGGCAUGAUGGAGUCAUUGAUUGCGAAAUAAUGUAAUCUAUUUCACGAGGAAUCAAUAGAGCUAUCUCCUUUCUUUGCGAAAGAACUCCAAGUCAGGUUAGGUUUAGGUCGGGCUAGGAAAAAUUGGGUCAAAAUCUUCAGCCCGAGCCCGAAGUGACAUUGGUGGGUUGGGUUGGGUUGGGUUGAGCGCUAUGUCUUGCUUUUUUAUUUCUCUACUUUGGGUUAGUUUUUUCAUGUUGGAUCGGGUCAUAUAUAUAUGGGCCCAAAACCAUGACUUGAACUUGACCUGACGCAUUGUCAGGUCAGGUUGGAUGGUCCAUGUCUGUUUAUAUCCUUAUAACAUUUCUUCCUCACAGGACAUUGAGGUUGCCAUUGACACUCAACGCGCGUCCCUAGAGCCCAGCCACUUCAUUCCUCCGACCGAACCAUCAACCCCACGCUAACAUAGCCUCUUGUGACUGGCCGGUUGCCCCCUUAUUUCUUCAUUUAAGCUCUUCUAUAUAUCUAGUCCUAAUAUAAGUAUAUCUUCAUGUACGCGUGAGACUGAGAGGAUCAUUCAAUCGUCAGUUCGUCGCCCUCACAAGCUGUAGCAAAUGCACACACAACUGGCUCCGGUUCGUACACGACCAUGCACCUUGUGUGGAGCCGGCGCGGGGACAAAAUCCACAUCAUAUCCAUCCCCUCCACGCGAUCCCCGAUUCAUUCUGCAUCGCCCAAAAACAUAUAUAUAGAUGCGUGCAUGUCCCGCUUCCACACAGUGCACACACACAUAUGUGAUACGUAGGUGAUACCUUAUCAAAGAAAUAUGUGAUAGGUGAUACAGAUACCACAAGCAUCUCCCUAUCGCCGCGGUCGAUUCACAGUGCAAGCUGCAAGGACGACCACACCGCCGGAAAUGCCAGCUCGGUGCCGCUGGACUCUUCCGCCACGCACGUAUUAUAUGUGCGCGGUCGUAUCGUAUACGGCCGAAAUAGUAGAGAUAUUUGUGCACUUCGCAUUCCGUAUACGGACAACACCGCCGGAAAUGCUGGGUAUUAAGGUGCGUUGGAUCGGUGCGUGAACGUGACACGACGAAUUUUCGCAUUGCGUCGAUGUACCGCGCCCCCGGCGGCGAGCGGGUGGCGGUUUCCAAACUCGCGUUGUGCGCUGCAGCUUGAUUGCCUGCAUCCACGUAAAACAGGCAGAAGAUCCGGAUGGCGAAAUUAAGUGGAGACAGGAAUGAUAUAUGUCGCUCGGACAGCUUGUGCUUUUGUGCAAAAGCAUCUUGAUCCGAGAUAAUAAGCUACCCAGCUUCGGCUUGUGAAGUCUCGAGCAAUAAUCAAGCAUGCCAUUGCUGCAUGAAAACAGAAAUGAAUUGGGAUUAUACCUGUGCUGUCGCUUCCUCCUCCUCCAACUCUGGCACGCUAGGGCCUUGUUUAGUUCCCAAAAAAAUUAUAAAAUUUUUCAGAUUCCCCGUCACAUAAUCGAAUAUUUAGACACAUGCAUGGAGUAUUAAAUAUAGAUGAAAAUUAAAACUAAUUGUACAGUUUGGUUGGAAUUGACGAGACGAAUCUUUUGAGCCUAUUUAGUUCAUAAUUAGACAAUAUUUGUUAAAUAUAAACGAAAAUACUACAGUGUCGAUUUCUCAAAAAAUUUUAGAACUAAACAAGGCCCUAGGAAGAGCUAGGCCGUCACAUACGUGUACGUGGCAACGCGCGGCACCACGAACGACGGAAAUGCGUGAUCGGCGAUGGCGAACGAGCAUUGCAGAUCCUGGGGAGAACGAUAUAAAGCGAGCGAACAACCUCGAUCGGCACGUUUUAGUAUUCAUCAUAUAUCCCACCCACGCCUUGAGACAACGAUAUAAGUAUAUAUAUCCGCAUUCCGCAGUGGCAUAUAUCCAUGCAUGUCUGAAUUUGACAGCCGAAAAAACAGAUUGAACCAAAGAGAGAUGGAUAUGAUGGAACAAUACGUUGAGAAAGCAGAUUAGUACACAAGCAGAUAACCCACAGCGCCGAAAUCCAAUAGAGGACGGCCGUAGUAAACCGAUGAUCGAUCGUCGGAUCCCGAAAGGGACACUGUUGCGAUCGACCGGAUCGUCCUUGUCCUGUUCCCGGCCGCCGUUGCUAGCUGGAGCAGCGUUUUCUAGACCUCAUCCGCGUGGCCGGUCGUCUUUGUACGGCGCCGCUUUGGCUGGCUGGCUAGCUCUCGCGAAGUUUUCUUCGUCUUCGUCGUCUCGAUCGGCAUCUCCUUUUCGUCGUCGAUCGAUCUCGGAGCCUCUUGGUUUUCCUUUUCCACGGGCUAGAAAAGAUUCACCCUAGAGCUAGCUACGACCUACUGCUCGGAAUGGGAACGGCUCGCGUGCGUUGUCUAUCGAUAUCAUAUGGCCUGUUACAAUGCAUCGCGUAGCAUUGCAUCGUAAGCUUGUACUAGAACAUUACUGCCAAGUGCCGAUGACCCAGCGAGGACAAAUUGAGCCCCCUGCGAUCAACAAGCAAGAGAAAGGUGCAAAUGAAUGGUUGGAACUCGCGCCCGGCCGCGAUGAUCCUGACAUUGGCCGAGGAGUCGCCAUCCACGAGGAAUCCCGAGGCGGGUGGCGCGGAGAUCUGCGUGAGCUAGCGCGCCUGCUGCCUCUGCCUCUGACAGGGAUCUUCACCGGCGUGCCGUGCCGCCCCGUGUGCAUGCUAUCGAUCGGCGCCUCUGUACGUGUUGUUCGUUUUGAGGCGGGCGCGGUACGGUGGCGCGCCAGAAAUGGUGGCGAGGUUGCUUUCCACGACGCACCUUGAGGGCAUACAUAUAGUGAUGAUGAUUGAUCGCAAAGUGGUUCUUGGUUUGGCACGGAGAGCGUAAUGCCCAUAGCCUUCAGUUCAGUUCAGUGCGGUGAAGUUGUUGGGUAGUAAGUGAGAAUCGUUUGGAACAGAGACGGACGGCGAGUGCAACGCCGGCCAAGUGGUAGGUUCCAAAGAACGCAUGCAUGGAGCCUGCACCCUGCACUGCAUGCGGCACUGCCUAACAACACCAGCAGCAGCAAGAACAACAUGUCAAUGUCAAUCAGUCAAGAUAUGCCACUCAAUUGGUGAUUUGGUGACUGUAACCGGAUUGAAGCAACGUACAGUUCAGCGUCUCUAUAUAGAGAAAGUAAUACGUAGAUAAUUAUCCUGUGAGCUGAAUAAUGUCUAUUCGUACGUGUCGUGUCCAUUAGCGAACUCACCUCCUUGAUCAGCAUCGUAGCAACCGCAGUAUUGCCGUGUCUUGUGGAAUGCUCUGAGCGCUUAUGUUCUUGUGCUGAUAACUUGAUAUAAAGGACCUGCUAAUAAUGUAUCCUUCUUGGCUUCUGUAAUCCUUCCUCGAUCACUAUUAGUGAAGCUGACCUGCAGAUUUAGUAGCAGUAAUUAACUGUCUAGGGCACGCGAGGGACAUUAUGUGUAUGUAAAUGAUUGAAAGUUUGAUACUCUAAAAUCACGGGUAUACUUGACUGUCAACUGGACUAGAAAAUAGAGGCAGUCAAAUAGACAUAAGCAAUUCAUUCGUCUCAUCAUAGUUAGAUUAGAAUCGGGGGAAUGAAAUUGAGCUUCGUAUAAGUGGAAACUGAAUUUAAAUGGGCUUAGUUAUCGACAUACGGCCGGCAAAACGAGAAGCAGGGUACCAAUUUCAGAUCGGGCCAACAAAUUUAGGUCUGGCGACUUCACUCACCAAGAUGGGCCGGAUCACAGGAUUCUAGCCCAUAUGAAAAUGGGGCCGAACAAAAUAGGUUUUCCUGCCAUAGGCCCGACCACCAUAACAGAUACGGUGCUAAUUCCUAUUUCCUAUUUCAAGCCCAACUGAACAAGCAUAUGAAAACGAGAAGCUUGUAUUAUAAACUCAAAUAUAUAACUCUUAUAAAGCUAAAUCCCACUAGAUGAAUUCUCUGUUCAUGCAAAGUGUCCACAUCAAGUGACCCACUAAAUAUUCUAUCUCUUCAUGCAAGAUGUCCACAUCAUUCCUCACUAAGUCCAUGUCAUCACAUAUUAAUUACAAAAAAUGAUCAUGUCAUCUAUAUCAUAUGAAAUACUUUUAAAUCUUUAAUAUAUUAACAUACAAGUCAUGUACAUACACUAUUUAUUUCAUCACCAAUUAAUUUCUCUAUAAUGUAACCAAAUAUUAGUUUUUGUUCUAUUAGCUUAGCAAUUUUUUACUAGAUCUAAUACAAUAAAACACAUACAAGUCAAAUGUAUACUUACAUAAUAGACUGAAUAUCAUAUAGUAAUGCUAUGUAUAUAAUGAUUUAUUUUUAAGAAAAUCCUGCAGCAACGCGCGGGAAAUUCACCUAGUUAGUUAUCAUGAUAAACCCUUAAGAUCAUACAUAAUACACGAGAUGCAUGGGCGGAUACACAGUAUAUAUAGGUAUAUCUAAUAUAUUAGAAUUUCAUAUUUAACAAAUAAAAUUUCUCUCUCAUUCUUUUUAAGUUUAUCCUUGUAUUUCUUUUUCCAUAUAGGUUCUAUGUUAGUCUGAUUGCCAAAAUUAUUCUAUUUUGUUGUUUCUGUGAAUACGAACCUAAUUAUUUAUCUCCAGACCACAUACAUAUUGACUCAUGCCACCAAAUAUUAGUACAAAUCAUAUCUUGUUUCCAAACUCUUUUCCAAGAUAAAUCGGAAUAUACACAUGGAAACACGUAUAAUAAAAUAUUUUUUUCGUGUGAGUGAAACGAGACAAGAUUGGAGGCAAUUACAUAAUCCUCAUUCCUAAAUCUCGAACCCUAGUCGACCAAGCAUGACAUGUUGGAAGUACUACUGGUUUCCAGUGUCCUGAGCUUCUAGUGGCACAGGGCGUGCAGCGUGGGCGCGACAUCUAUUUCUAUGCUAUGCCUACAUGGCGACCGACGAGGGCGCACGUAAGUCAUGAGAUUAGAGGCAACAGUUGAGUGGUGGUAAACCAAAUACAGCAAGGGAAUAUCCAAGAUUCAAAUCCUAACUCCGUCACUGACGAGAUGCCGAUAUAUGACAAAAUUAGUCAUCAUGAUAAACUUGUAAGAUCAUAAAUAAAUUCAAAAUUAGUCAUCCUGAUAAAAUUAGCCAAUUUCCACACGCAGAAGUGACAAUUGGAUCUACCUAGAUAAACUUGUAAGAUCACACAUAAUACACGAGAUAUGAUAUUUAUUGAUCAAACCAAAUGGCUUCAAAAUAGUUUUUAAAUAUAUUCCCAAAAAUUAGUGUUGUUUUUUUAAAAUAUAACUUUAAAAAAGAUUUGAAAUUAUGUAUUGACCAUGUUAGCAUCCGACAUCAUUUUAAAUUUUUAAAAAAUAAAUUUCAAAAUUCAAGGAAAUUAAACUAUAUACUUAUGCUCUAAUAGCCUCAAACCAUAAACUUACCAACUACAAAAUUAUAGAUCACAUUAAACUCUAUAACCUUCGUAUAGAUCAUGUCAACAUCAACGGUCGUUUCAAAAUUUUACAUUUAAAAAGAUUUAAGAAUCUAAAAUGGUUUUUUGGGCUCUAAAAGCUUUGAAUAAAAAAUUAUCAAUUGCAAAGUUGUAUAUCAUGUUGAGCCUGAUAGUUCUGGUAUAAAUUUUGUCUUCAUCCUAAAAAACUUAAGUGUUCUGUCUCUGUUAAUCAAUUUUUAGAUGUGACACUAUUUGGAUCCUCACCUUUAAAAUUACUGUUUCAUAGAGGUAGUCACCUAAAAAUGCUUGUCUUUGUCAAUACAUUAACAUAAUCAAACAUUAUAAGAUGCCUUUGAAAAUCAUCGUUUUAUUAUUCUCCGCUAUAUCAAUAGAAAUAACUACUAUCACUAUCAGUUCAUUGAAAUGUGAGAGGAAGUGGCUGAAUCAGUGGACAUCGCUGCCUCACAAACAUAUAUGGUCUUGAUCAUCAUUCGCCUUGGCUUUGGCCACAAAUAGACUAUUAAGAAUAAAAUGCACAAUCGAUCCUUAAACUUGUUUCGAGGUGUCAUUCAGGUCCCCAAACCCAUAAAAUACAUUUUUCACUUACUCAAAUUUAUCUUGGAGUGUCAUCAAAGUCAAACUCUCAAAAUCUCAUGUUAGGUCCUCAAAUUUGUCACUGUGUGUCAUUUAUUUAGGCCCAAACAAGCUCUAAGCACAUGUUAAUCUCUAGUGCUCCAGCUACAUGCUCUCUCUCUCUCUCUCUCUCAUCUCCAUGCUCGCCCCCUCUCUUCGCGUUUCAGUCUAGUCUUGCAUCUCAUCAUACUCGUCAAUUUGCCAUUCCCAAUCCAUGUUUUCAUCAUCCUCCAUAAAAAAGCUAGUGCUCCUUAGGUGGAAGCACGGGCGGAGCCCAGUAGAGGCAAAACUAGGCUCCCGUCCCCUUCCCUCGAAACAAUUUCUUAAGGCCCAAUAAAAAUAUAUGAUGCCUGCAAUGUAGCAAUAGCCACCAGCCCAUUUAGGCACUCAUGUAGGAGGCAGGAAGACGGACGGAGGAACGGAGCCGUGACUCGGCGUUACAGCCGCACGGCGUACUCGGUACUCCACUCGCAUCUCCUAAUCUCUGGCACUCCACUCCACCUCUACGACGUGGCGCUCGAGUGGUGAGAUCCCAGCCGGCGAUAGCUGACAGCGGCCUUCCGUUGGCCUGCCGCUUUCUCGUCGAUUAAUGUAGGAGCCUUCGACAGUUCGGUGAUGCAACUUGCUGGCUAGGUUCGUACAAUCCCAAAUUUUUUUCUUUCCAUAAUUUUUACAGGAAGUUUGAUUAUGAUUUUGCUAGAUGCCUAGAUCCAAUCAAAUUGACUAGAAAUAAUUUCUUAAUUAGGUAGUAGUGGUGCGUAUAAAAAAUCUGCAUUCCUUUUACAAAAUAAAAAGAGAUGAAUCUGGAGAAGGGGAAGGAGAAGGGGAAGAAGAAGGAGAAGAAAGGGCAGAUCCAUUUGAUGCUCCUCCAGUACUUCAGUUAGGUGAUUUGGGACAACAGAGGCAAGAACAAGAAGCGGCAGCACCUCAGUUGGAUGAACUGGAGCCCCAAAGGCAAGAAGAUGCAGAACAACAAGAACCUGCAAAUCAGUUAGAUGAAGAUGAAGUACCAGAAGAAGCACAUGUAGAACCACUAGUAGUAGAAGAUGAAGAAGAAAAUCAAACAAAUGAACCUAUCAUAUUUCGAGGCAUUGAAUUUUUGGAGCGAGAUCCGGCACUGUGUCCACAAAUUUGGCAAUAUCCAGUUGAUCAGAGAGAUCAAGUGCGAUGAGCAUACUUGCAGUUAGGUCCUAUGCAACCAUUAUUGAAGAAAUACAAGCCUUUUGGACCCGCUGGAAAUCGCCGUCGUUUAAAUUAUAUUUGGUUCAGCCAAUUUCUAUCUUGGUGAAAGCUCUAGUUUGGUUUUGGAUAAUUGUUGAAACCCUAGUACUAACCUCUAUACUAAGUGUGUGUAGACUUAAUGAGGUUGGUACAUGCCAAGUGAUGGAGCAAGUAAUGAUCAUGGUGAUGAUGGUGAUGAACACAAGAUGAUCAAGUGCUCAACUUGGAAAAGAAGAAAGAGAAAAACAAAACCCUAUGGAGUUCAAGGCAAUGGUAUUGCUUAGGGUUUUCGUUUUGGUGAUCAAGACACCAUAGAGGAUGUGAUCAUAUUCAGGAUAGAUAGCCAUACUAUAAAGAGGAGAAUUCCUUGGCUAAGCGGUUAUCAAGUGCCACUAGGUGUCAUUGUUCAUGUGCAUGCGUUUAGAACCUAGUAGUGAGCUAACUUAACUCCUUCGAAGAAAAUGAUUGUGAAAAUGCUAACACACUUGCACAUCGUGGUGUAGACUUCGUGGUGUCGGCGCUUUUGAGAAAAUGAAAUGUAUAUUUUCUAUUGCGCCGGUGGAAAUUAUCACCAGACGCUGGCCCGGAGGCACCGGACGCAGUGCCUGCGCGUCUGGUGUGUUGUCUGCUUCUAGCGGUGUUAGGGUUAAGCACCAGACGCUCUGCACCGGACGCGGGCUAGACCCUGUAUGUGCGUCCGGUGUGGCCUGACUUUAGCAGAGAGUUUGACUGAGAGCACCGGACGCUCUGGGUGCGUCCGGUGGUGCGCGUCCGGUGUCCUUGCAUUUUUGCAGAGCUCUCUGGGUAAGGGACCGGACGCUUAGGAGCACGUCCGGUGGUGUGGGUCUGGUGACCCCGCGCGUUUGCAGACCUCUCUGCGCACGUGACCGGUGUGCACCAGACGCGUCCGGUGCCCACUUGACUGCGUCGGGUGGUUCAUAUUUGAUAAUUAGAGAUCGACACACGUGGUUCAAGUUGUGGACACGUGGCUCUGUUCCAAGCAUCGGACGCACAGGUUGAGCGUCUGGUGGUCACUGGUUGUGCGUCCGGUGACCCCGAUUUCUGCAUAGUGAAAGAGCCAAUGGCUCUAUUUGUUUGUGGGGCUUAUAAAUAGUUGUUGGCCGGCUUGAGGCUCACUCUCUUGGAAUUCUAGCAUACUUGACAUCCUUGUGAGCCUAAGCAAACACCUCCCACUCAUCUCCUUCAUAGAUUAUUCAUCUUUGUGAGAUUGUGAGUGAUUCCAAGUGCAUUUGCUUGAGUGAUUGCAUCAAGUGGCACUUGGGGAUCGAUUUGUCUACGGUUUUCUUGUUACUCUUGGUGGUUGCCGCUACCUAGACGGCUUUGAGCAGUGGAGGAGCUUUGGCACAAGUUGGUGAUUUUUCGUGGCUAUCUCUCGGUGAUUGUUAGGGGUCUUGUACCUUCCUCGGUGGAGAGCCGAAAGGUAACUCUAGUAAAGUGCUCGUGUCAUUGAGUUACCUCACUUGUGGGUAGGUUCUUGUGGUGUCCUAGUGAGGACGAGGUUCGUGCUACACCUCUUAGCCACCGAACCACCAAGUGUUGGUCGACACAACGGGGACGUAGCGUGUCGGCAAGCAUGUGAACCUCAAGAGAAAAAUCGAUGUCUUUUGAUUGACAUUAUCCUGGUGCUUAAUUGUUUAUAUUGGUGAUUGGUUCAUCCCCUACACGACGGUAUAAAUAUCUCAUCCUAUCUUUUAUUUACCGCAAACUAGUGUAAUUAGAUUAGUUGCUUACUUUGCCUUGUGUAGCCUAGUUCACUAGUGUAGUUUGUAGUGACAUAGCUCUUGUGUGCCUAGUGAUCAUACCAACUAGAAUUAUUGAAUAGGUGGCUUGCAAACAUUCCAUUAGAGCUAGAGUAAAAAGCUUCGCUUAUGGACUUGUUCAAUCCAGUGAGUUUGUUCAAACCGUGCCGAUUCAACAGCUGGUUCAAACCGUGCCGAUGGAGAUACUGCCUUCAAGUACUUGACAUCAUUUGAGUUUGUGAUUAUCCAUGUAUGACAAGGGAAAUAUUUGAAACAACUGAACAACUUGGUCAAGCAUUACAUAAGAAAUCACAAGACAUAGUAAAUGUUGUUCGCCUUGUGCGCACCACAAAAGUUCUACUUGAGGAAAUGAGAUCUGAUCAUGGAUGUGAAACUUUUUUUUGCAAGGUUGUUGAGUUUUGCUUGGAUCACAACACUGAUGUUCCAGACAUGGAAGGGACCUACAUUUUGCGUGGUGGUCGCGCUCAUCGUCAACCUGAACACUUCACUAGGGACCGUUACUCCCGAGUGGAGAUAUUUCGUGCAACAAUCGACACUCAGAUGCCUGAAUUAAAUUUGAAGUUCAAUGAGAAGGUGAUGGAUCUUUUGUCCAUUAGUGCCACACUCAUACCAAGAAAUGGAUUUCUAUCUUUCCAAGCAAAUGAGAUAUGCAGAUCGGUUGAGAAGUACUACUACCCAAUGGAUUUCAGUGAACAAGGUAUGAUUGCAUUAGAGCGUCAGCUAAACCAUUUUAUGGUUGAUGCUUCUAGUAGUGAAGAUAUGAAAAAUAUUGAAACCUUAGUGCAGCUUUGUCAAAGUCUUGUUGGGAUAGGCAGACAUAGAAUCUUUAACUUGGUUGAUAGAUUGAUUCGGUUGCUUGUGACUCUCCCAGUUUCAACAGCUACUGCUGAACGUGCUUUCUCUGUUUUGAAGAUAACCAAGACAAGACCGCGCAACAAGAUGGAAGAUGAUUUCCUUGCCAAUAGCUUGUUGGUUCAGAUCGAAGGUGAAAUUGCAGGACACUAUACCUAUGAUGAUAUAAUCACAUAUUUCAAAAUUUUGAAGAAAAGAAGAUCACCUCUAAGCUGUAGUCGUAUGUCUGACUUAUAGUUUGGGUGUCUUGUCUUUUGUCUAACAGCCCCUAUGGCCACGGGCCAAUUGUAUUUUGGUAAUGAUUAGGCUAACAAUCUCUACAACCGUGUGGUAUGAGUAUGUGAAUAGUUAUAAAUAUUAAUAUAAAUGUAUAUAUUAAUGAUAUUAUAUGCAUUGUCAUUCAUUUUUGGUGUCAAUUAUUGUUCAUUUUCUCUCUAUUUUUUAAAUUCGCCCCCCUAUAAUUUGGCUCACCCUCCGCCAACUGGGUGGAAGAGGUAGGGUGAACGAUUGCUUUGUCAUUAAGUUCCUACCCUGGUUAAGAAUGAGGUGUGGAUGCAACCACUAUGACAUGUGGUGUCAUGGUGUAGAGUAGAUCGGGCCUAUUUGAACCUAUUGACACACUAUGGCAAGUUCAGAGCCUCAGGCCCGUUCGGUUGCUCUCAGUAAAGUUUACCGCCCGUCACAUCAAAUAUUUGGACAUAUGUAUGGAGUAUCAAAUGAGGACUAUUUAUAAAACUAAAAAUAUAGAUAGAGAGUAAUUUGUGAGAUAAAUCUUUUGAUCCUAAUUAGUCCAUGAUUGGACACUAAUUUCCAAAUAAGACAAACAUACUAUAGUACAUAUUAAACUUUAACACCCUCAACCAAACACCCCCUCAAUGACAUAUGUACUGAGACAAAUCUAGGGAUCUAAAUAUUAUAUUUCAAAAUUUAUAACCUAAAUGACACACAGAGAUAAGUUUGAGGAUCCAAAAAUAAUUUUAGGUCUUGUUUAAUUUUCUUCCGAAAAUUUUUUGGAACACUGUAGCACUUUCGUUUGUACGUGGUAAUUAUUGUCUAACUAUGGACUAACUAGGCUCAAAAGAUUCAUCUCGUAAAUUACAGGCAAACUAUGUAAUUAGUUAUUGUUUUUAUUUAUAUUUAAUGCUUCAUGCAUGUGCCGUAAGAUUAGAUGUGAUGGGAAAUCUUGAAAGUUUUUGGAUUUUGGAGAUCGAUGACACCGUCCAUAUAUUUUCCUCUAUAUCAAUGGAAAUAGUUAUUAUCAGUACUGAUUUGUUAGAGAGAAGAUGGUUGGGUCAGUGGCCAUUGCCUUUGACCGUUACACUCCUGCAUCCUCCACCUAUGUAUGAGCACUAUUGACCACCAACGAAACAUGGAUACUGCAAUAUAUUGCCCAAAAAUAUGAAAUAAUCAACCCCACAGAACACUUCGAACCAUGACGGAUCACCCAUGCCCGCUCGCCGCGUCCCAGCACUACACGCAACACCAUGCAUCAUGCACUUGUACGUACAAAUCUGUGUAUACCUGACUCAUAUCUCACGCACCUUUUUAUCCCCUUUUAAAUGCGUCGUUGCUCUCGUUUGAAGCAACGGAGCUUAUCCGUUGUUAGUCCGUUACAACCAUCCGCCGGCGCCAAAACGGCCACUGGAUCCAACCAAUGCAAUGCAAUCUAUAAAUUCCCUUGCACGGGGGCAUGGUGCUCCACACACAGCCAAGUAUAAGACUCCCUUGCAUUUUUAGCACACCAGCACAGAAGCAAGAGAGAGGUACUCCAUAGAGCAGAGAUGGCGAAGCACUCGGCUGCCAUGUGCAGCCUCCUAGUGUUGGUGCUGCUCUGCUUGGGCUCCCAGCUGGUCCAAUCCCAGGUCCUCUUCCAGGGGUUCAACUGGGAGUCGUGCAAGAAGCAAGGUGGGUGGUACAACUACCUCCGGGGGCAGGUGGACGACAUCGCCGCAACGGGGGCCACGCACGUCUGGCUCCCGCCGCCGUCGCACUCGGUGGCGCCGCAGGGGUACAUGCCCGGCCGCCUCUACGACCUCGACGCGUCCAAGUACGGCACCCACGCGGAGCUCAAGUCACUGAUCGCGGCGUUCCACGCCAAGGGCGUGCAGUGCGUCGCCGACGUUGUGAUCAACCACCGCUGCGCCGACUACAAGGACAGCCGCGGCAUCUAUUGCAUCUUCGAGGGCGGCACGCCCGACAGCCGCCUGGACUGGGGCCCCGACAUGAUCUGCAGCGACGACACGCAGUACUCCAACGGGCGCGGGCACCGCGACACCGGGGCCGACUUCGGCGCCGCGCCGGACAUCGACCACCUGAACCCGCGCGUGCAGGAGGAGCUCUCCGGCUGGCUCAACUGGCUCAAGUCCGACCUCGGCUUCGACGGCUGGCGCCUCGACUUCGCCAAGGGCUACUCCGCCGCCGUCGCCAAGGUGUACGUCGACAACACCGCUCCGACCUUCGUCGUCGCCGAGAUAUGGAGCUCCCUGCACUACGACGGCAACGGCGAGCCAUCCAACAACCAGGACGCCGACAGGCAGGAGCUGGUGAACUGGGCGCAGGCGGUGGGCGGCCCCGCCGCGGCGUUCGACUUCACAACCAAGGGCGUGCUUCAGGCGGCCGUCCAGGGCGAGCUGUGGCGGAUGAAGGACGGCAACGGCAAGGCGCCUGGGAUGAUCGGCUGGCUGCCGGAGAAGGCUGUCACGUUCGUCGACAACCACGACACCGGCUCCACGCAGAACUCGUGGCCAUUCCCCUCUGACAAGGUCAUGCAGGGCUACGCCUAUAUCCUCACGCACCCAGGAACUCCAUGCAUCGUAAGUCCCCAACAACCCUAUCACCAAUUAAGAAUUCUUAACCAUGAACUCCAGCAACUGACACUGUCCUUGCAUCUGUAAUUCAGUUCUACGACCAUGUUUUCGACUGGAACCUGAAGCAGGAGAUCAGCGCGCUGUCUGCGGUGAGGUCAAGAAACGGAAUCCACCCGGGGAGCAAGCUCAACAUCCUUGCCGCUGACGGCGAUCUCUACGUUGCCAAGAUCGACGACAAGGUGAUCGUGAAGAUCGGAUCACGGUACGACGUCGGGAACCUGAUCCCCUCAGACUUCCACGCCGUUGCCCAUGGCAACAACUACUGCGUUUGGGAGAAGUCCGGUCUGAGAGUUCCAGCGGGGCGGCACCACUAGACCCGUCCGUUCACUACAGAUAUUUUUCUUUUGAUCAGGUCUAUUUAAGCCUGGAAAAGAAAUUUAAGAGAGGCUAAAUAAGUAGCAUACGAUUCUAUCAAGCUUCUUUCAGCAAAUUAUUGAAAGAAGGUUCUAAAGUUUGGAUGUAUUAUUGUGGUAUGGGAAUUUUUGUAACCUCUUGAAAUGGGGAAACAAAGACUAUUCUUAUUAAGCUGAAACUCCCGGUGAUGUUAGAGCAUCUCCAAGAGCUUGGCUAAAAUUAGUAGCCAAAUUCUAAUGUUUAGCUAUUUUAUAAAAUAGACAACUUCUUAAAAUAGAAGAAGUCCACAACAGCCUUGCUAUCAGAUAGCUAGUGUCAGUGGUUGGCUAUAUAUGGCCAACCAAAAUCAAGGAAUAGCAAACUUUCUAUUUUACAAAACUAAAUAGCACAUCUGUUGGAGCCUAUUUUUCUGUUAUACAAGUUCUAAAAAGCCUUCAUAAUAAGAAUAGCAAAGUUGUUGGAGUUGCUCUUAGAACCCUUUUCUUGUGCUUGUCUAGCUGCCACCAGAAUCUCAGCAUGGCCAAAAAUAGGGAUGAAAACGAUCGGAAAUGAUCAAUAGGAGGCCAAAUCACUUUUAGGCCUUGUUUACUUGAGAAAUUUUUUGCAAAAUUACUACGGUAACUCUUUUGUUUGUAUGUGACAGAUAUUGUCCAACCAUAGACUAACUAGGCUCAAAAGAUUCGUCUCGUAAAUUUCGACCAAACUGUACAAUUAGUUUUUAUUUUCGUCUAUAUUUAUUUAAUACUCCAUGUAUGUGUCUAAAGAUUCGAUGUGACGGGAAAUCUUGAAAAUUUAGAGUUUUAGGGUGGAAGUAAACAAGGCCUUAUUUCCAUAUUUUAGAUCACUCCAAUGCCAAAAGGCCGAGAAUAUGGAGAAAUCUCUCUCCUCAUCUUUUUCCCAUUCUGGAAAGAAAGAGAGGGAAAAACACCUAGACAGGCAAAUAAAUAAGGCACAAUUUCCAAAAACAAGAUAGCGCCUCCCAACUACUGUUGAUGUCGCCCUCCCACACGAGACCGCCUCGGUCUUCCUCUGUUCUUCUAACCGACGAUCUUGUUAGUGGACAGAGGAGCGGGGACCCCGACCUAAUUUCUUUCUCUUCGUAAUUGUAGGUUAGGCCUAUUGAUCUAGUGUUUGAUUCCUGGUGAGGUGGUAAAGAUGAUCAAACUAUGGAAUAAGGCAUUAUAGUCUUGUCUCUACCUCGAGGUUUGAUCUAGCAUUAGUGAAGGGCAUGUUGAUCUAGGGUUAGCAUGUUCGAGGUUGCAAACCGAUCUAGGGAUCCAUUGAGAUAAUUUAGAGCUUGUCCUUCACUACAAGAAGUUGGGAAUACCACCCGGGAGGACCCAUCAAGGAGAUACACAUUUGUUGUCCUAGGGUUGACAAGGCCACCUAAGAACAUCGCUAGAUCUUGCAAAGAGAUGCACUAAACAACAAGAUAUUGGGAAAAAGGCAGAAAAAAGGGUAUAGUAGAUGUAAAAAUCUGAUUCAAUGUUGGAUCCCUCAAUCGACCAUGAUCCUUUGAUAUAUAUAUAGAGCGGGUGGUCUUAUCCUAGUAGGAAACAAGUACAAUUCAUAAUCUCCACAUUUCCUAGGCCAAAAUAGGUCCAAAAACCGGUUUGGAAAGUAACCAGAAUAGACUUGAAUAGGAAAGCCAUCCUAGUCGGGUCCCAAACUGACCAAGGUGGUUUUAAUGACCCUAAGGCACUAGCUGGUCGAGCGUAGCAGGAGAGCUGGUCUGGCUAGGCCCCAAACUGGCUAGGCUGGUUUUGUCAGCGCUUGUGGGGCGACUGCGAUGCAACGUAGAAAACCGCUCUAGAUGGUUUGGGGAGCCAGCUUGGCUAGUUUGGUAGACUAGGCACCAAUUCCUCCAAGUUUUGCCUCCAAGUGCCAUGUUCUGUAAUGUUUUACAUGAUCAUCUUAGCUCGAGGAACAUUGUUGCAGAGCCUUCUUAUCCCUUAGGUCAAUUUUAGUCGUCACCAUAUGCCACCCAGUGUCGAUGUCUUUUGUUGCACAUUUUGAUGAUGGGGCUAAGAAUGGGUGCAUCACAUUGAAUAUGUCCUCGCUUAUCUUCUCCAACCUCUCCCUCUUCUAUUGGUGAUGCCAAGCAUGUUGUAAUUUGUGCCUCUUGGUCUUUCUGGACCUCAUCGACACCACUUGGGGGUUGGCGAUACUUGGAGUCCCUUUUGCUACUUAUGGACUAUUGAUGAUUUGUAGCAGCACCCACGGGAUCUUCCCUCAUCACCACUAGAACUAGAUCCUCAAUCACAAUUGGGCCAUUGACUUAAAUAGUAGACACCUUCGUGGAACCGAUUGUAAUGGACGCGGGAGGAUCGGUUUCUUGUGCAGGAGUAGCAGAAACUUCUUUCUUUUUAGGCACAUAUACUUGCUUGAUUGGUGCCUUUCCUUUUACUUGUGCUGACAAUGUCCUCUAUGUAAUUAAUUAUUGUUGCCCCACAUUACUAGAGCUCAACUAUUAAUUGAAGUUUGAUUGGCAAAACACCAAAGGACGUGCAUUAGGACCAGCAACACCUCCUUGCACUUGUUGCACCAUAAGCAUCAUUGGCUGAUAAAGCACCCACACACCAUAGGGCCCCAACAUUGGAAGAAUAGCAGCUUACACAGGAGGACCCCUAGCAAGACACAUAAAGAGAUUUCCUCUACUGAUCUAGAGCCAAAGACAAAAUGAUUUGCUUCAACGACACAUCUUGUUUUGGAGGUGAGCAUUCACUUUUUUAAGGAUUAUUUCAUAGAAUUGGCCCUCAUUAAUUAUAUUUAUCCAUGAGAUUGUCAAAACAACACUGGUAUCUCACUACCUUCCCAGCGUUCUUGGACACAAUGGACUUCUAGUUCCAUACACUAAUCUUCGAAUGUUGAGGUUUAAAGGUGUGCACAUGCCCCCGAUGCUGCCUGAGCUAGCAAAGCUAGCCUGGCCGGUUGCACAUGAACUAGCUUAGCUAGUUUUUGGAACUGGCUUGGCUGGUCUUGCUAGGGCUGAUGCCGCUACACUGCUUGGUUGGUGUUGAGCCAACACUUUUGUUAGCCCCUUACGUAGAUAGGUGCUAAUAGUGAUCUUGAGCUUGUUCUUGCUAGCUUCAUUCUUUUCAAAAGCAGCUUGACAGACAACAAUUUUCUUCUUAUCCUUUCUUGUUCACAAAUCGUUAAAUUGUUUCCAGCGGUGGAUUUAGCCUGGUCUAGCUGAACCAAGACUAUCGAAUUGUUGCACUCAAGCACAUUCAGUGGGAAAGGAGCUUUGCUAAUAUGCAUUUCACCAAGACUCAAUCAUCCCUUGUCAAGAGCCACUUGGACCUGCUGAUGAAAAACAUUACAAUCAUCAGUGUCAUGAGAACUGGAAUAAUGCCAUUUACAAUAAGCAUGUCUGUUUAGUUCCUCGAGAGAUGGCAAAGGAUGAGUCAACUUAAUAUAUCCAUUUCAAAGCAAUUCAUCAUAAAUAUGAUCACACUGAGUAGGAUCAAAAGUAAAUUUCAUGUCAUCUUUUCGAUUCAUUUGAAUCGACUUAAGAGAUGGAACCGUGACAUUGUUAGAGGUAGCUAGCCAUACAAAUUCAGCAAGAUAGCACCCAUUAGAAUAAUCAUCUAAACUAUCUAAAUAGUAUUGUAUGGCAUGCAUAUUAGGAUGAUGUUGUUUGUGAUGCUCUCGGAUCUUUACUCCAGUUUCAAUGGCUAAAGUUCAUUGAAAAACCUUGAUUCACAUUAAAGAAAUCAAAACAUUGAAGCUUUUCUUUAUACUAAGAGCGCAAACCAUUAAGAGCCAAGUUAGCUAAAUCAGUUUCAACAAUGUAGGGAAAGAGGAUUGAGAAAGGGAUAUAAUGCACUUGUUUUUUCAACUUAUUCCCCCAUAUGUCGGAUUUUAGGGAGAGAAGAUUGUUUUCCUCACUCUAGUGGAGCUGCUCUAGCAGCCUGUUGGGUACCAUAAACUGGGAUACCCAGACAAAAAGCGGCAAAAAAUAAUAAAAGCGAUGCCUGACCCCUGGGCCUCGGGCACAAUCUCUGUCUCGCCCGACCCCUUGGCCUCGGGCACAGACUCCGUCUCACCCGAGCCCUUGGCCUCGGGCGCAAUCUCCGCCCCGACCGAGCCCCUACCUGGCGCGCCAACUGUCGGUGUCUGGACUCGGGGUCCAGGCACUAACAAGUGAUGAGUCUUCAUGUCCCCUUUAACCCGAAUGGUGAUGCAAGAAAACACAGAAGAUUUAUACUGGUUCGGGUCCUGAAUGCCCUACGUCCAGUGAGAGAGUUGGAGUCUGUGUUGCCUUGCACCCGAGAGUGCUUGUAGUAGGGUGAUAGCGAGAGAGGGAUAUGUCUCAGGUCUCGACUUAGGACGUGAGUGGAGGGAGGCUCAGUGUUCUGAGUCCCCUUUCUCUACGUGAGUGGAGUGAAGUGUGUGUUGUUCUUGUGGGCUACUCUUAUGCCUUGUGUUCGAUGAUGUCUAAAGGGUGCCCUGUCUCCCCUUUUAUAGCCACAAGGGGUGACAGAGCUUUUACAUGUGUAAGUUAGUAAAUCAUCUUCAAUGUGCCGUAGAGCGACAGUGCCGACCCUGCGGAGAUCGUCCGCCUCGUUCUUAGGGCAUGGCUGAUGGCGUGGUCGUUCUUGUGGAGCGUCGCCGAGCCCUGUUUGGAUCGUGGAGGUCGGGUCUGGAACGCCGUAGCUUGUCCUACAAUAGUGAAACAGUGACUGCCAAAGCAUGGUUAUAGUGGCAGGGGUUAAUCUCAUCCCAUUCCUUUUACUGUCGCGCAAUGCCUCACAGUGACCGAGGUAAGGCCCCACAGUGAUGGGAGUUGUUGGAACAGUGGUCGACAAGCCCUGCUGCAGUGUGGGGGGCAUGGCGCACGUCGCGUCAGGGGUACGACCACCGUGUAUUGGAAGCCUAGUAUCGAGGCUAGGGCUCGGUCGGGGCGGAGAUUGCGCCCGAGGCCAAGGGCUCGGGCAAGACAGAGUCUAAGCCCGAGGCCAAGGGGUCGGGCGAGGCGGAGAUUGCGCCCGAGACCCAAGGGUCGGGCGUCGCUUUUAUUCUUUUUUGCCGCUUUUUGUCCAAUUAAUUUGGUUAUCCCGGUUUAUGGUACCCAACACAGCCGUAGUUAUAUUCUAACAUUUGUGUUUUGGGAUGUGAAUAUUUUUCACUAAAUAAGUAUCAGUUUGUUUCCCAUUUGGAUAAAUAAAAUUUAUUUAUAAAAAAUUUAAAUAUAAUUUUCCUUGGGUUAUUGCAUUCAUCCGAGUGCAUAAUUUAUUUGAAUGAAAAAUAAAAAAAAUCGAUUAAGCCUUGAAUACUUGUAUUUCUAAAAAUAAAGUUCAAAUUUAUGUUUCAACAAUUGGAUGUCUCCAAAUGAGUUUAAGUUUAAAGUUCAAAAGUAUUUGAAAAUGUAGUUUAAAUGUAUUUUAAACUUUAUUUUAGAAAAGGUUUUAAAUUCUCAAAAAAAAAAGUUUAAAAUGUGUUUAAAAAAUAAGCUUAAUAAUGCUUCAGAAUUAAGUUACAAAAAUGUUUAAAAAUAUUUUAUUUGUUUUUCUUAUAAUGUCUUCAAAAUAGUUUUGAGACAUAUUUGAUAAAUUAGUUUCUUUUUCCAAAAUAUAGCUUAAAAUGAUUUUAAAAAAUUGUAUUUGACCAUUUCAACAUUUGAUGUCAUUUAAAAAUUCUAAAAUAUAAAUUUGAAAAUUAAAGAAAUUAAAAUGCACACUUGGGACUCUAAAGGACUUCAAACAAUAAACUUGUGAGCUAUAAAUAUAUAGACCACACUGAGAACUAUAACUUUAGCACAGAUCAUGUCAAUAUCCAUAGUUGUUUGAAGAUUUAAAAUUUUAAUCUAAGAAACUUAAAUGGGGCUUUAGACUAAUAAGUUUUGAAUAAAAAAAUUAUCAAUUACAAAGCUAUAUACCACGGAGCUCUACAUCUGUGGAAUAAACUUAGUCUUCAUCCUAUUUGAUAUAAAAAGUUAUGAUUUGUUUAGACAACUAUUUCUAGUGGCAAGCUUCUCAAGUGUUCUUUUACAGUUAAUCAAUUUUCGGUUGCAGCACUCUUUAGGAACGCACCACUAAAAAACACUAUUUUAUAGAGAUGGUCUGGAAUAUCUAAUAAUAGAGCCAAAUGCUUGGCUAUAAGUGAAAUUAUAAGAGCCAAGUCAUACAAUAGUUGUUUCUUAUUUGGCUAUAAAAAAGUUUUUUUUUAUUAUUAUGUGAUAUUAUGUCUUACUUCUCUUUCCUACUCCUUCUCACAUACACUAUUGUUUGAGCCGACAAAUGUCUAUGCUUUCGUGCCUAGCUUGGUGCUAGAAUAAGAGCCAACCUCUCUUAUUUGUCCUCUCUUCUCUCCUCUACAUGACUAGCUUGGCUAUAAGUUCAUUAUUAUACUUGCUACUUAUUCUUAACAUAGUAAGACAAUGUAAGACGACACCUCCUAGAUUAUCAUCUCUGCCAUAUCAAUAGAAAUAGAAAUAGUUACUAUCACUACCAGCUCAUCAAAACGGUGAGAGGAAGUGGCAAGAUAAGUCAACAUCAAUGUCUCACAAACACUAGAUAUGUUGAUCAUGGUUUACAUUGGCUUUGUUGGCCACAAAUAGAGUAAAAUGCAUGAGUGGUUUUUAAAGUUGUCUUGAGUAAUCGUUCAGGUCCUUAAUCUCUAAAAGGGCAAUGCUAAGGUACACUUUUUACCUAGAAGAAAGUAAUAUCUCAAAUAGAUCUGAGCCAUUGAUUUUAUGAGUUUUAUGAAUUAAUUAAGAAAUUAAAAAUCUAGGAAAACAAAUAAAACUUCUCUCACUUCCCAUAAUGACGUGAGUAAACAUGAUAGGGAAUCCUUCUGAUUCUUCUCUAAUACUGUCAGUAACACAUGAUUUUAUGGGAGCAGCCAGCUUGACAUGUUUUAAAAUAUGUUUCAAAAUCUUUUACACUCAUAUUUUAAAUCUUAUUUUCACAAUUAUAAUUUGUUCUACUAAAAUAAUCAAUAAAGCAAAUAGGUAUUGCAUUUGUUGUCUUCAAAAUCAAAGUUGAUAUUAGUAUAUAAGUAUAAAUUCGAACUAUCCAUAUUGGUAUUGAAAUUUGAAUUAAACUCCUACUUAAUAAAAACAUGCCAAAAUACGAUCUCGAAAAAAAUUAAACUAAAAUAGGGUAAAUAGUUCAAAUUCAAUUUCACACGUUUUUGAUUUGAAUCUACUCACGGUCUUAGGCAUGCACACGCACAUGCAAAUCACUGAGGUUAGCAUGCAUCAAUCAAAUCAAGAAAAAAAUUAUUUAUAUCUAAACUUCCCUUAAUUGUCUUAUUUUACAAAAUAAAAAAUAUGUAUUCCACAUAUUACCUCCUAUCAUCUAAGUCUAAAAUGAAAUAUGGAUACUGUAAUACCUUACCAAAAAUAUGCAAUAAUCAACCCGCAGAGGCCAAAGAACACUUCGAACCAUGACGAAAGAUAGCCAAACGUUACCGCAAUACCUAUGCUUGUUCGCCGCGUCCCUGCACUACACGCAACCCCAUACAUGCAUUGUGCGUAUAUAUAUACACUAUACACGACACAUACCUCAAGGACCUUUUUAUCCCCUUUUAAAUGUGCCACGAUAGCAUUACACUUUCCCCAUCAUCCAUAUGUCGUUGCUCUCGUUUGAAGCAACGGAGCUUAUCCGUUGUUAGUCCGUUACAACCAUCCGCCGGCGCCAAAACGGCCACUGGAUCCAACCAAUGCAAUGCAAUCUAUAAAUUCCCUUGCACGGGGGCAUGGUGCUCCACACACAGCCAAGUAUAAGACUCCCUUGCAUUUUUAGCACACCAGCACAGAAGCAAGAGAGAGGUACUCCAUAGAGCAGAGAUGGCGAAGCACUCGGCUGCCAUGUGCAGCCUCCUAGUGUUGGUGCUGCUCUGCUUGGGCUCCCAGCUGGUCCAAUCCCAGGUCCUCUUCCAGGGGUUCAACUGGGAGUCGUGCAAGAAGCAAGGUGGGUGGUACAACUACCUCCGGGGGCAGGUGGACGACAUCGCCGCAACGGGGGCCACGCACGUCUGGCUCCCGCCGCCGUCGCACUCGGUGGCGCCGCAGGGGUACAUGCCCGGCCGCCUCUACGACCUCGACGCGUCCAAGUACGGCACCCACGCGGAGCUCAAGUCACUGAUCGCGGCGUUCCACGCCAAGGGCGUGCAGUGCGUCGCCGACGUUGUGAUCAACCACCGCUGCGCCGACUACAAGGACAGCCGCGGCAUCUAUUGCAUCUUCGAGGGCGGCACGCCCGACAGCCGCCUGGACUGGGGCCCCGACAUGAUCUGCAGCGACGACACGCAGUACUCCAACGGGCGCGGGCACCGCGACACCGGGGCCGACUUCGGCGCCGCGCCGGACAUCGACCACCUGAACCCGCGCGUGCAGGAGGAGCUCUCCGGCUGGCUCAACUGGCUCAAGUCCGACCUCGGCUUCGACGGCUGGCGCCUCGACUUCGCCAAGGGCUACUCCGCCGCCGUCGCCAAGGUGUACGUCGACAACACCGCUCCGACCUUCGUCGUCGCCGAGAUAUGGAGCUCCCUGCACUACGACGGCAACGGCGAGCCAUCCAACAACCAGGACGCCGACAGGCAGGAGCUGGUGAACUGGGCGCAGGCGGUGGGCGGCCCCGCCGCGGCGUUCGACUUCACAACCAAGGGCGUGCUUCAGGCGGCCGUCCAGGGCGAGCUGUGGCGGAUGAAGGACGGCAACGGCAAGGCGCCUGGGAUGAUCGGCUGGCUGCCGGAGAAGGCUGUCACGUUCGUCGACAACCACGACACCGGCUCCACGCAGAACUCGUGGCCAUUCCCCUCUGACAAGGUCAUGCAGGGCUACGCCUAUAUCCUCACGCACCCAGGAACUCCAUGCAUCGUAAGUCCCCAACAACCCUAUCACCAAUUAAGAAUUCUUAACCAUGAACUCCAGCAACUGACACUGUCCUUGCAUCUGUAAUUCAGUUCUACGACCAUGUUUUCGACUGGAACCUGAAGCAGGAGAUCAGCGCGCUGUCUGCGGUGAGGUCAAGAAACGGAAUCCACCCGGGGAGCAAGCUCAACAUCCUUGCCGCUGACGGCGAUCUCUACGUUGCCAAGAUCGACGACAAGGUGAUCGUGAAGAUCGGAUCACGGUACGACGUCGGGAACCUGAUCCCCUCAGACUUCCACGCCGUUGCCCAUGGCAACAACUACUGCGUUUGGGAGAAGUCCGGUCUGAGAGUUCCAGCGGGGCGGCACCACUAGACCCGUCCGUUCACUACAGAUAUUUUUUUUUUGAUCAGGUCUAUUUAAGCCUGGAAAAGAAAUUUAAGAGAGGCUAAAUAAGUAGCAUACGAUUCUAUCAAGCUUCUUUCAGCAAAUUAUUGAAAGAAGGUUCUAAAGUUUGGAUGUAUUAUUGUGGUAUGGGAAUUUUUGUAACCUCUUGAAAUGGGGAAACAAAGACUAUUCUUAUUAAGCUGAAACUCCCGGUGAUGUUAGAGCAUCUCCAAGUGCUUGGCUAAAAAUAGUAGCCAAAUUCUAAUGUUUAGCUAUUUUAUAAAAUAGACAACUUCUUAAAAUAGAAGAAGUCCACAACAGCCUUGCUAUCAGAUAGCUAGUGUCAGUGGUUGGCUAUAUAUGGCCAACCAAAAUCAAGGAAUAGCAAACUUUCUAUUUUACAAAACUAAAUAGCACAUCUGUUGGAGCCUAUUUUUCUGUUAUACAAGUUCUAAAAAGCCUUCAUAAUAAGAAUAGCAAAGUUGUUGGAGUUGCUCUUAGAACCCUUUUCUUGUGCUUGUCUAGCUGCCACCAGAAUCUCAGCAUGGCCAAAAAUAGGGAUGAAAACGAUCGGAAAUGAUCAAUAGGAGGCCAAAUCACUUUUAGGCCUUGUUUACUUGAGAAAUUUUUUGCAAAAUUACUACGGUAACUCUUUUGUUUGUAUGUGACAGAUAUUGUCCAACCAUAGACUAACUAGGCUCAAAAGAUUCGUCUCGUAAAUUUCGACCAAACUGUACAAUUAGUUUUUAUUUUCGUCUAUAUUUAUUUAAUACUCCAUGUAUGUGUCUAAAGAUUCGAUGUGACGGAAAAUCUUGAAAAUUUAGGGUUUUAGGGUGGAAGUAAACAAGGCCUUAUUUCCAUAUUUUAGAUCACUCCAAUGCCAAAAGGCCGAGAAUAUGGAGAAAUCUCUCUCCUCAUCUUUUUCCCAUUCUGGAAAGAAAGAGAGGGAAAAACACCUAGACAGGCAAAUAAAUAAGGCACAAUUUCCAAAAACAAUAUAGCGCCUCCCAACUACUGUUGAUGUCGCCCUCCCACACGAGACCGCCUCAGUCUUCCUCUGUUCUUCUAACCGACGAUGGACGUCAUUACUUAAGCCCUGCUAGCUACACUCUGAGCAAAGAAGAGAAGGAAAGCAUGUUUGAAUGUCUUAGCAGCAUCAAGGUCCCAUCUGGAUUCUCCUCCAAUAUCAAGGGAAUAAUUAAUGUGCCAGAGAAGAAAUUCCUGAACUUGAAGUCCCAUGACUGUCACGUUCUAAUGACGCAAUUGCUGCCGGUCGUUUUAAGAGGAAUUCUACCUCCACACGUACGUCUAGCCACCGUAAAGCUAUGUGCAUUCCUCAAUGCAAUUUCUCAGAAGGCAAUCAAUCCAGAGCAACUAGCUACUCUGCAGAAUGAUGUCGUUCAAUGUCUCGUCAGCUUUGAGUUGGUGUUCCCUCCAUCCUUCUUCGAUAUCAUGACACACCUCCUAGUUCAUCUGGUCAAAGAGAUUCGUAUUCUCGGUCCUGUGUUCCUACACAACAUGUUCCCCUUCGAGAGAUUCAUGGGUGUCCUAAAGAAAUAUGUCCAUAGUCGUUUCCGGCCAGAAGGAAGCAUUGCCAAGGGCUACGGAACAGAGGAGGUCAUAGAGUUCUGUGUUGACUUUAUUCCAGACCUUGACCCAAUUGGCAUUCCUGAAUCUCGACACGAGGGCAGACUCAGCGGAAAGGGAACACUUGGGAAGAAAACAUAUAUUGGUACGGGAAACGAUUACUUCAAUAAAGCACACUACACAGUUCUCCAGAACUCCUCAUUGGUGGAACCAUAUGUUGAGGUACACAAAGAUUACCUACGGUCCCAGUGGCCCGGGAAGAAUGAAGCUUGGAUAAUGCGUCAGCACAUGGAAACUUUUGGCGAUUGGUUGCGCAAAAAAUGUCAAGGUGAUGAAAACAUUGAUGAGCAGCUUUAUUUGUUGGCCAGGCAACCAUCAUGGCAUGUCCUCACAUACAAAGGGUACGAGAUAAAUGGUAACACAUUUUACACAGUUGGCCAAGAUAAAAGGAGCACCAACCAAAAUAGUGGUGUACGCGUGGAUGCCACGGAUCCAAAUGGGAACAGACAAACAUAUUAUGGACGCAUAGAAGACAUAUGGGAACUAGUCUAUGCAGCUAAUUUUAAAGUUCCUUUGUUCCGGUGCCAAUGGGUGAAGAUGACCGGAGGUGGGGUAACAGUCGACAAGGAGUAUGGGAUGACAACCGUGGACCUUAACAAUAGUGGGUUCAAAGACGAACCAUUCGUCCUUGCUGCAGACGUGAGUCAGGUGUUCUAUGUCAAAGAUAUGUCUACGAAACCAAAGAGAGGAAAAAAUGAUGACCACUCAAUCAUCAAUGAGCCAAAGCGCCACAUUGUCCUUUCUGGGAAAAGAAACAUUGUCGGAAUUGAGGACAAGUCAGACAUGUCAGGCGAUUACGAAUUCCGCCCUUCAUAGUCAACAAAGACCCAAGCAUUCUGUUAAACAAUGAGGAUACUCCAUGGUUACGGCAGGAUCAUAACCAAGGGUCAUACGUCAAGAAGAAGUUCACUGUUGUGUCGGCUUGACUUUGUAUGAAACUAUAUUUGAGAAUUGUGAAUUUUGAUGUGUGUAACAAACUUUGUAUUCAUGACUUUGUAUUCAUGACUUUUCCAAUUGUUAGAGAUCAUCAAAUGCAAAAUUUGUCAUGACUAUAUGUGUCAAUUGUGGAUUUUCAACUACACCUUCCCAAAACUUUGUCAAAUGCAAAAAUGGUCUAUAUAUGAAAUGUAGAUUUUGAUGAGUGGAACAAUAUUGGUAUUCAUGACUUUUCCAUUCGAGACCAUGUAGGGUUCCGAAACCGCUGCGUGGCUAUGAGUUCUAUGAAAAUUCAAAAUUCAGUGGUUCAAACUUUUCCAAAUGAAAAGUUGACCAUUAGACAAAAUGUAGAACUUGAUGAGUGUAGCAAACUUUGUAUUCAUGACUUUUCCAUUUGGGACAAUCUAGGGUUCGGUCAAAGGGUGUGUUCAUCAAGAUAUAUAUUUUUAUAUGAUUUUUUAUUUGAUGAAAAUUAUACCCAACUAGCAUUCCUAGUAAUAAAUAACAAAAAUAAAAAGUUUUACGUCAAUAUGAUGUGAAAAUAAAUUUCCAGUUCAUUGGAUAUAGUUUUUGUAAAUUUAUUGGAAUAAUAUAUUUUUGCAUUAACAAAAUACUAAACAUUUCUUACAAAAUCAUUGUAAAUUAUAAAAAUACAAUAAGAUAUUUAAGUUUAAAAAUUUUCAUGUGUACAUUAAAACAAAUUACAAUAUAUGUCACUCUUUAAAAAACAUUAUGCAAAAUAUUUAAUUUACUAUACAAUUUAUAAUAUAAACUGUAUAUAUAAAACAAUUGAAAAACCCUAAACUAAAAAAAUGGGCCUUUAGCACCGGCCCAUAGUGGGAACCGAUGCUAAAGGGUCCUGAAAAUUUCAGGACCCCGCCCGAGCCCGCCUAGGACCCUUUAGCACCGGUCCGUGGCUGGAACCGGUGCUAAAGGGUCCCUUUAGCACCGGCUGGUAACACGAGCCGGUGCUAAAGGGUGACCCUUUAACACCGGCGCGUAACACCAGCCGGUGUUAAAGGCCCUUUAGCACCGGUUCCAGCCACGGACCGGUGCUAAAGGGUCCGCCUCUAUUUAAGUCAUGGGCGUCCUGGAUCUGAGCCGUUCGUCUUCGUCUUCGUCGAGUUCAUCGUAUCCAGCGCCGCCGCCCGUUCAUCUGCCCGCGCGCGACCUCGCCGAUCUCCAGCGCCGCCGUCUCCAGCGCCGCCGCGGUCAGCUCCGGCCACCAGCGCCGCCGCCGCGACCACCAUCUCCACCAGCGCCGCCAUCUACGUCUCGAUCUCCACGCCCGGCCCCGCGCGCGUCCACUGCAAUGUAUAAUCCAAAACCAUAUAUAUACAUAUAUAUAUAUAUAUAAUAAAUACUCCACUGCAGUUUAUAUAUAUAAAAUAAAUAAAUGUUAUGAAUUAUAUGUCAAUCACUUUGCAAUUUUAGUGAUUUCUAUAUAUUUGUACACAAAAAUAAUAAUUAAUGAAUGCUAGCUAGUAUAUAUAUUAAGUAUAUAUAUAUACACACUAAAAAAUAAUGCAUGAUGUUAGUAUUUUAUUCUAGUAAUAGUUUUUAGUACAUUAGUAUAAGUGUAGUGUUGACCUGUUAUAAAUUAUAUUAUGCUAGUAUAUAUUUGUAAUAUAUUAAUAUUAUUCUUGUAUUAUUUUGUAGUAUUAUUUUUUUAGUAUAUUAUUUGUAGUAUUAUUUUUUAGUAUAUAUUUGUAGUAUAUUAUUCUUGUAUUAUUCUUGUAUUAUUAUUUUAUUCUUGUUUUAUUCUUGUAUUAUUCUAGUGUAUUACUAGGCUUAAGAUUCUAGUAUUAUUUUUUAGAGCACUCCAACACUUUUAUUAUUUUUGUAGUAUUCUUGUAAUAUAUAUUCUUGUAGUAUUUUUAGUAUAUAUUUGAAGUAUAUUAUUCUUGUAUUAUUCUUGUAUCAUAUUUUAUUUCUAGUGUGUUGUAUAUAUUAUUGUUUGUACUAUUAUUCUUGUAUUAUUCUUGUAUUAUAUUUUAUUUUGUAGUGUUUUGUAUAUAUUAUUGUUUGUACUAUUAUUCUAGUAUUAUUCUUUUAGUAUAUUAUUCUAGUGUAUUACUAGGCUUAAGAUUCUAGUAUUAUUUUUUAGAGCACUCCAACACUUUCAUUAUUUUUGUAGUAUUCUUGUAAUAUAUAUUCUUGUAGUAUUUUUAGUAUAUAGUAUGUAUGUAUGUUCUAUUUUUUUAUAUAUGUAUUAUUUUUUGUAUGUAUGUAUAUUAUUUUUUGUACAUAUACACACAUAUAUAUGUAAUAUUUUUUGUAUGUAUGUAUUAUUCUAGUAUUGUUUUUUAUUCUAAUGUAUUACUUGGCUUAAAAGAUCCUAGUAUUAUUUUUAGAGCACUCCAACACUUUCAUUUGUAGUAGUAUUAGUGUAUUUCUUAUCUUAUAUAGAAUAUAUAUAUGUAUGGUUGCAGACAUAGAAAUGGCUGACCGUUCUCAUGAUGAUCCUGAUUAUAUGGAAGCUGCCAUUCAAAAUAUAAUCGACGACGGUAGUCAGUACUUCGUUGAUUACCACGACAUCAUGCAAGGCAAUCCUACUGAGCAACAAGAGGGCAAUGCCCCUGAGCAACAAGAGGGCAAUGCCCCUGAGCAACAACUUGUCGUGCAACAAGAAGAAAAUACUGGCGAGGUAUGUAAAUGUAAACAUAUAUAAAUAAUGCAUCUCUUACAUUAGGUUUUAGACUUAUUACUUGGUUAUUAAUUUAGUAUUUUUGUUUCUAUAUGUACGUGUAGCCUUCUGGAUCGACCUCUACGGGGAGAAGCGUACCUCUACGAGGGCCAAAGAAGCCGUUGGAGGGCCGCUAUGUAAUCUCUGAGUUUGAGAUAGCUACAGGCAGACCACUUGGUGAGCAUGCAAAUAAAUAUGUUAAUCACUGUGGAUAUCUUGUGAGAGAUCAAAUACCGAUCAGUUGUCGUGAAUGGAGAGAGAAGCGAGGUGCUCCUGAGAUCAGUUUUGUCUCUGAUCGUGACAAGGAGUUAGUUUGGAAAGCCGUCACAGACGUUUUCACCUUCGACACCAACGAUGAAGAGUUGAAGGUGCGAAUUUAUGACUGGACUAUGAAGAAGAUGGCAGUACUCUUCCAGAAUUGGAAGAAGUCUUUGUACAAUAAAUAUGUCAAGAAAAACGAGACUCCAGAUUUCAACCUCAAGCAAUAUGUAAAGCUGAGGGCCUUCUGGGAUGACUUUGUGCAGUACAAAACAUCAGAAGAGGGCGAGGAACGAGCCAAUAGAAACAAAGAGAAUGCCAGUAAAAAGGCAUACCACCAUCAUAUGGGAUCAGGUGGUUAUUACAGUGUUGUUCCCAAGUGGGACCGAAUGGAACAGGAGCUACUUGCUAGGGGGGUCACACCCGAGACAAUAGCAAAGAAUUGGAGCGAGCGCUCCAAGCAUAGGUUCUACGGUCAUGGGGAAGCGUGGACCCAGACACCGGGGCGCUAGUUUGGGGCCAAGAAAUCUCUAGAGCAGCAGAGAGACUAGUCCGUGCACGAGAGGCGGUUCAGUCUGGUGAGUUCAGGCCUAACAGGGAGAAGGAUGAACUCACCUAUGCGCUUGAAAAUCCUGAGCACGGUGGGCGUACAAGAGGCUAUGGGGCAGUUCCGUGGCUGCAAUCAUUCCAAGCCGAUCAAGAUACCUACAGAAGCCGCCAGAGAAAGAAGGAUGAGGAGGCAGAGCGGAUCCGCCGCCUGGAAGCUUUUGUUCUGCAGUCACAAGAGCGCGAGAAAGCUCGUGAAGAAUGGAUGCAGGCAGAGAUUCAAAGGCAAGUGCAAGCAGCACUUAGUCAAAUGACGAAAGGGCAAGGUACAUCACAGCCUGAGGUCAAUGUUAGCCCCCCAGGCCAGUUGAAAAGCAGCUGCGCAUCCACGGAAGUACCAACCAUUCAGGAUGACACGAAGCUACACUUCCCCGUGGAUGAUGUCACAGAGGCUUUUACUACCUGUGAGCUGCAUGUACCAGAUGGGAAUGCCACCAAAAAGGUGGCUAUCGCUGUUGUCAACCCUAUCGACCGAACGGGCACUCCAAGAAUCCAUAAUCGACCAGUACCUGGUGGAUAUGCUAGCGUCUCGGUUGAUAGGGUUGAGAAAGGUUGUGGCAAUGUGCCACUAGACAUAGAAGGGGGAGACGGAGAGAAGACCUUAGGUGAAGCUGAGAAGACAUUUAUUUGUUGGCGCAAGCGCUUCAUAAUUAUUCCUCAACAUAGGUUUGUGUGUGAUUUUACUUCUUAUAUUAUUUAUUAUGUAUUGAAAUUUAAAAAAAGUUUACUCACAAAACUUGUAAUUGUUUUCUUUGCAGGGACUCCUCCAACCUAAGUUCAGUUCUCUCCCCAGCGCAUCAUAGUGCUGCGGGCGGUGACAAUGCUGGAUCUCCUCCAACACCUGCGGCGGCCACACCGACCCCGCCACCGCCUCCACCACGGUCUCCACCUCCUCCACCGAGGUCUCCAACUCCUCCACCGCGUUCUCCAACUCCUCCACCGCGUUCUCCAACGCCAAAAAGAUCGGGCCCACCCCCUCCACCGCCUGCACCGCCCUCUCCAAAGAGUGCACGGUCGGUCCCCUCGCCUCCAAAGCGAGGUAGUAAGAAGCGGUCCGUCCAAGAAGGACCGAAGUCAUCGGUCCCACCUCCAAAGAAGGCUGCCUCAGCAAAGAGAGCUAAGACGCCAGAAAAAUUACCUUACGAAAAGAGUGAAGAGGAGGUAAUUGCUACAUCUAAAGCUGAGGUCCAACAAUUUUUUGAUAAAAUAAAGGAGGAAAGGAAAAAACGGCUUAACCCAGAAAAGCCGUACUUUUAUGUGAAGCCAUCGGAACUGAGGCAGAAGGUGGCGGACCAUCAAAAGAAGCAACGCGAAGCUCAGAAAAAGCCAGCACUUUCGGACUAUGAGCGGUCUCUGGUCAAGUCUUCACAGCCUACUAAGAAGAGAGUAGGAAAGGGGGUCCCACAGCUCGGAGAAGUAUCAAAACCGGUGCCCCCUUUGAUUGUGCCAAAUCAAUACGGCUCAAAUGAAGACUUGAUGCCAAAGAAAUCCUUAGCGUUGUCUGAGCUAGACUCGCUUGAGAGUUACUUUGGACAGAGCGGUUUAAAUAUAGAAGAAAUUACCGCCAUUCUUGGAUGCCAUACAUUUGAAAAAGCCGAGGUAGUUGAUCAAUGGAGGGCAAGAUAUGAACCGGGCAGGAGUCUAUUCGACCCUAAGCGUUUACACGAGCUCGGCACACAAAUGUUUGCAAUAAACAAAUGGUGCAUUGAGGCGUCUAAAAGGGGAGAGAAUUGGAUUUCUGUUCGUAUUAGACAACAUCACUACUUCCGUGGAGAUGACCUCAUAUACGUGCAGUUCGAAGAAUUGCACCAAUUAUGCCACCUCGACGCUCUUGACAAAUCUCUUGUCAGCUGCUUUUGUCUGUAAGUAUUUUUCCUUUUUAUUAUACUUCUAACUUCUUUAAUUACAUGUAUAUAAUCCUUACACACUUAGGAUUUGUAUGUAUAUAUGCAGGCACCAAAUGAGAGAGCUCAGAAUGAGAAAUGACAAUAGUAUUGGGUUCGUUGACCCUUAUAUUGUUUUCAAGGCUCCGCAGGCAGUGUGGACAGCAGAUUAUGAGACAGAAAUCUGCACCAAUCUUAUGAGGUUCUUUGUAAACCAAAAAGAAAAACAAAAAAUACUCUUCCCCUUCAACUUCGAGUGAGUUAUAUAGUUAUUAAGUGCAUGCAUAUUUUAUUUUACAUUAUAGGACUGACCCUAUAUAUGUGUGUGUAAACAGCUUUCACUGGAUACUCAUGGUCAUUGAAAUUCCCAAGAACCGAUUGAUAAUCUUUGACUCAAUGAGAAAACCACAAGAAAAUUAUCAACAAAUGGUAAACGUUAUUCAAAGGUACGUAAUGUCGAUCUCAGCUACAAAAAUAUCAUAAUAUGACUCUGUAAUUAUUAGUUCACGAUCCACAAUGGCUGUGUAUAGGGUUUGGGAAAGAUUCAUUGACCGUGAACAUCUCAGUGGAUGUAAAGCGCCGCUUAACAUAAUACAUCCACAAGUAAGUUCUACUAGCUAACAAACUUUCGCUAACUUUUAGCCUUCUUAUUGUCGUGGUCAUGAAUAUUUAUAUAUAUAUAUACAUCGUACAGUGGUGUUUAAGACAAGAAGGGGGGAACAAUCUAUGUGCAUAUUACGUGUGCAAAUUCAUGAUGGCACAAGUCAAUCAAACACCCACAGAGACGCUCAGAGUACGUUACAUGUCUCUUUUCAUUAUCUCCUGAAUUAUAUUGAAUAACUUAGAUAACUAAUACCUUUUUUAUUUAUUUCAAAUUAAAGACGGAAUGGCUGAGGGAAAAGGUCCUACAACAAGACCGAAUCAAAGCUAUCCAAGAGACGAUAGCAGGAUUUCUCCGCGACCAAGUGAUCAAUCCAAACGGCGAGUUUCACUUCAACGGCAACGAAACUCUUAUACCAAACAACGAUGAUCAUUUGUAUCGUUUGUAGACAUUGGGAGAACAAACUCUAUGUAUAUAUGUGUUACGAAUUUUGUACAUAUAAAACUAUAUAUAUAUAAAGCUUUUUACAUAUAUAUUUAAUUUUUGAUGUGGUCUAUUCAUUUUAUUAUAGGCAAAGCUUAACUAUUAAGCUUAGCCUAUAAUUUUCAUUUAUAUAUGCUUAAUAUGCGUGUAAUAUAAAUAUAUUAUUGUAUCAGCAAAACAUGUAUUGAAAAACCUAUUAUUAUAUAUUAUAUAUAAACAAUAAACAGAACCGAAGAAGUGAACCAAAAAAAAAAGAAAAAGAAACCCUUUAACACCUGCAACGUGGCAGCCCUGGCAGGACCCUUACCAACCGGUGUUAAAGGGGGGCUUUAGCCCCGGUUAACGGAACCGGGACUAAAGGGUGGGCCUUUAGUCCCGAAAGGGUAGCACCGGCUCGGGAACCGGGGCAACAGGCCCUUCCCGACCGGUGCUAAUGCCCGAACGUGUGGCAGUGAAGGUCAUGCAGGGCUACGCCUAUAUCCUCACGCACCCAGGAACUCCAUGCAUCGUAAGUCCCCAACAACCCUAUCACCAAUUAAGAAUUCUUAACCAUGAACUCCAGCAACUGACACUGUCCUUGCAUCUGUAAUUCAGUUCUACGACCAUGUUUUCGACUGGAACCUGAAGCAGGAGAUCAGCGCGCUGUCUGCGGUGAGGUCAAGAAACGGAAUCCACCCGGGGAGCAAGCUCAACAUCCUUGCUGCUGACGGCGAUCUCUACGUUGCCAAGAUCGACGACAAGGUGAUCGUGAAGAUCGGAUCACGGUACGACGUCGGGAACCUGAUCCCCUCAGACUUCCACGCCGUUGCCCAUGGCAACAACUACUGCGUUUGGGAGAAGUCCGGUCUGAGAGUUCCAGCGGGGCGGCACCACUAGACCCGUCCGUUCACUACAGAUAUUUUUCUUUUGAUCAGGUCUAUUUAAGCCUGGAAAAGAAAUUUAAGAGAGGCUAAAUAAGUAGCAUACGAUUCUACCAAGCUUCUUCUUUCAGCAAAUUAUUGAAAGAAGGUUUUAUUGUUUGGAUGUUUCUGGCAUAUGAAUUUUGUAACCUCUUGAAAUGAGGAAACAAAGACUAUUCUUAUAUUAAGCUGAAACUACCGGUGAUGUUAAGAGCAACUCCUCGUAUAAUUAUCUUAAAAAGCCAUCAGAUUUGAGUUGUGAUUGAUGGAAUUAACACAUUUUAUUUGGUUGUUUCCUUUUUAUCAACGUCAAUUGUGAUGCCAAAAAUUUUCAACAUGAAAAUGUUGAAGAGUGACUCGAUGAGCUUAGGGCUAUGGUGAGGACAUGCUAUGAUGGCGAGGGAUAUACCACUAUAGGGGAAAGAGCGGCCUAGGAUUGAAAGUUUGAAACUGGUUGAAUGACGAGCCUUUAUAUGCGGGUGGAGUACGAGGUAUUGGACUGGGCGAGGAGUCCUCUAGCUUAGUGCGAAUGCUCGGUGGAGGGGGCAUAUGCUACCCCCUCCCACGAAAUCCAAAGUUUUAUUAUUCUUAUGUGCAUGUCAAGACUUCAAUGUUUGGUUUGAAUAUAUAGCUCUUGUGCAUUUGCAUAAAAGUCCAAUUGUAACACAAAUAUAUAUAUACCAUUAUUUGUUUUCCAUACUUGGAUUCUUUAUUCAUUGUCCUUUUAUAUAUUUUGAUGGACCUAGACCAUUAUAGUCUGAACCUAUAAGAUGAAUAUGAUAUUUUAUAUCCAUUACUAUGAUUCAAAGAGUUGAUUUUCUUAACGUUACUUACGGUGACACACCAACUUUUAUUUAGGUUUUUUUUCCCGACGCACAGGAAACGAGCUAAUCUCUUUGUUCUAAAUUAUAAGUUACUUUGAUUUUUCUGUUAUAUCUAUUUUGCUAUGCAUCUAGAUAUAAUAAUGUGUCUAGAUAUAUAACAAAAUGAAUUAACCAAAAAAAUUCAAAACAACUUAUAAUUUAGAAUAGAGAGAGUACUUUUUAUUUAUUUUUUAUUUUUAUUUUAAUUAUUCACUGACAAUAAUAUUUCUGAUAUCAACUAAGAUUUACUAGAAAUGUAAUAAAAUGUUAUUGUCGCUACAUUAUGAAAUGCUAUUGUUUAAAUUUAUGACAGGUCAUGAAGAUAAUAGUUUUUUUUAAAAAAAUACCACUUCAUGUGGUAUAUGGUACAUCUUAAUAUUUCUUUUCUAUGAUUUAAUUAAACCUACGAUAAUUUGGUUUAAGAUGGACCAUGUUCCCCGAAGGCAUUGGUAGCCGCCGUGGACGAGCCACGUCACCAAAAUCCCCAUCCUGCUUUGACUUUUCCAAUGCUGUAUAUCACUCCGGUCCCUGUCAGUGAGGUCAGCCUCUAGAGCAUCAUCUGCAAUUCUGCAUAUGCCAAGACGUCAGCACCACUCCCAUCGCGCACGGGGCCGCGCACUAAUCGACGGCCCGCCCGUGCCCGAACCGGAUCUUUUACGACCCGGAGCUCCUCGCAUCCACACGUUUUCCACAACCCGGAGGGAGAUUCUGGAAAUAGAAAGAGCAUGGACCAACCAGUCUCGUUCCGAGCUCCCACCUGGCGCCGCUCUGUAUCUGACUAUCUGUGCACCGUGUCGCCGUGUGGCCGUCGAUGGCUGUCAACCUAUAUAAGCGCCUCCACCCGCAACUUCCCGCUUCAGUUCAAAACGUUCAGACACACUCAAACUCCAAGCCCCUCAAUCUCGAUCGACCUCGGUAAUGACCAAGAAGCUCAUCUCCGCCAUGGCCGGGAAGCAAGGUUUCAAGGAGCAGCAGUUCAAUGAUCAGAGGAGACAGCAGGCUUCGAUUCAAGGAGACGACAUCGCCAAGAGCCUGGUGGGGUUCGGCGGCGGCGGCGGCAGGCUGAUCUCCCAUGAGCAGGAGGACGCCAUCAUCGUGGCGGCGCUGCGGCACGUGGUGUCCGGGUACAGCACGCCGCCGCCGGAGGUCGUCACGGUGGCGGGCGGCGAGCCGUGCGGGGUCUGCGGCAUCGACGGAUGCCUCGGCUGCGACUUCUUCGGGGCGGCGCCGGAGCUGACGCAACAGGAAGCAGUGAACUUCGGCACAGGGCAGAUGGUAGCGACAGCUGCGGCAGCGGCGGCCGGAGGGGAGCACGGGCAGAGGACGCGGCGGCGUCGGAAGAAGAACAUGUACCGCGGCGUGCGGCAGCGGCCGUGGGGGAAGUGGGCGGCGGAGAUCCGCGACCCGCGGCGCGCGGCGCGCGUGUGGCUGGGCACGUUCGACACCGCGGAGGAGGCCGCCAGGGCCUACGACUGCGCCGCCAUCGAGUUCCGCGGCGCGCGCGCCAAGCUCAAUUUCCCGGGCCACGAGGCGUUGCUGCCGUUCCAGGGCCAUGGCCAUGGCGGCGACGCUUGCGCCACCGCGGCGGCGAACGCCGAGACGCAGACGACACCGAUGCUGAUGACGCCGUCGCCGUGCAGUGCAGACGCCGCGGCGGCGGCGCCGGGAGACUGGCAGCUGGGCGGCGGCGUGGACGGCGGAGAGGGAGACGAGGUGUGGGAAGGUCUGCUACAGGACCUGAUGAAGCAGGACGAGGCGGACCUCUGGUUCUUGCCAUUUUCCGGCGCUGCAUCUAGUUUUUGAGCUCUUGUACUGUACACACAAGCGUGCAGUGGUUACUGACAGGAUCUCAGCUAGACUGACUAGCAUUCUUUUUGUAGCAUUGAACUAAUUAAGCAUAGCUAGUUGGUUCGUUGUAGGUGGAUUAAUUUGGAAGAGGGGUGGCAUUCUUUUGUUGUGUAUUGAUUCGUGGAAAGAGAUUUUUUUCCCUCUCAAUGAAUUGACUUUGGAAACUGUGUUGAUAGACUGAACAUUUUUGUACUCUGGCUGGUGAGAUUCUUUGACGAGUUUACUGCUUAUCCAUUGUACUCAGUAUUUGGUUAAGAAAACAUACUGAAAAAUCGUUUUUUUAUAAAUAAAAACUAAAAAAAAAAUCAUUGACCGAGCCAUAUAUAACUCGUCAGAGGGCAAACGUCCUAGGUCAAAACAAACAUGGUAAAGGAAAGUUGGAGUCGGCCUUGUUUAGUUCCCAAAAAAUUUUGCAAAAUUUUUCAGAUUCUCCGUCACAUCGAAUCUUUAGACGUAUGCAUGGAGUAUUAAACAUAGACGAAAAUAAAAACUAAUUACACAGUUUGGACGGAAUUGACUAGACGAAUCUUUUGAGCCUAGUUACUCCAUGAUUGGACAAUAUUUGUCAAAUACAAACGAAAGUGCUACAGUGUCGAUUUCCCAAAAAAAUUUGGAACUAAACAAGGCCUAAUUCGUUAAAUUUCUUUCUUUCAUCUGGCAUCCUGUACUUACCUGCCUUUUUGUUUAACUUUCUCAUCCUUGCUCUCAGAAAUAGGAGUUUAUGCCAGAUGGCACUCGUUUAAGCAUUCUACUACUCUCUUGCGUUGCGCCCUGAAAGAAAAAUCCUGUGACGGGUUACCAGUGGCGAUAGUGAUAGGGGCUUUUGCUACUGUAUUUUAUCGAAAAAAGGGGAGAAGAAAGGCUGUGGUAAACAAGAAAACGACGGGCCAACCGCGAGAGUGACGAGUGGAAGCUGCGAGUGCGGGCGGGCGGGCGGGCUGGCGGCUUCUCGUCAACUCGUUUCCAAGGACCGAGAGCGAAGAGCUUCUAGUACUCGUCACAGCCAACCGCCUGCCGCUGCCGCUGCCGCUGCCGCUGCGCCACCAGGCCAAAACCACACGCCCACACCAGCGGGCAGCGCGCGGCGGGGAGCAAAUAAAAGAAAGGUCAAGCGAAGCGCCCACGGGGGGAUUUCGCUUUCUGCCGCGGGUUUCCGGAUAAGCGCCAGCAGCGGUAGCCGCGCGCCGCCCGCGGCUGCAGCUGCUGCGUCGUGCUGGGUCCGCUUCGUCAGUCAGACGAAAGCGCUCGUGCUCUGCUCUUGGACCUUGGACGGGACGCCGCGGGCGGGAAGCGGUAUGACUCUCUCACUUACCAGCCCGUUCGCUGGUUAAGUUUUUGACUAGUCUUUCAGCCAUGCGCUACACAAGUCUACCAGGUUAACUUUCUACGCUUCUCAGCGGCACCACGUAUGACUUGUCCACUCGAAUAGUGGGAUGGUGUGUGGAAUGCAUUCCCCCCCAUCUAAUAUCUACCGCACUUUUUAUGCUCGCGGUUAGUUAGUCUCUAAGAAAUCUUAGAUUCAAGGAUUCUGAUCCAAACUUUGAUCAAAUAUUUUCUCAAGUUUGUUCAAACAAAUUUCUUGAGAUUUCAUGCCAAACUUUUAAGUAAAACAUCAGUCAACUAAAAUCACAUAUACUCUUUUUUUCGAUUAAAAAACAGCAUAUACUCGAUUCGUAGUAAAACACAAAGGCAGAUUAUUCUCAGUUUGAUGAUCUACCAUAUCAGAAAGGUAAAUUAUAAAAAUAUAUUUCAUAAAGUAACUAUUUUGAUGCUUACUUGAUAUAGUAAGCAUCGUUAUUCUUUUCUUUGAAUUUAGUCAAAAUUUAAGUAAUUUAACUUAGAACAACUCAAAAUCCAGUAUGAACGAACCUAACAUCGCUCAUCGGUUGGGAGAGCUUGCACUACAUUUCUUCAUUGAAGUUGAGGUUCUUCUGGCACAGGAGGAUGGAAAUGACGCUACACAUGCACCUUAGUGGGAUUGGUCCACUUGCUCCAUCGAUGACCGUAGAGCUUAUCGUCGGCUAUUGGCAUUGCCACGAUGAUCAGCAUUGCCAUCAGCACUUGUGCCACCUCCAUUGCAUGAUUCUCCAUCACAGCCUUCUCCUACUAAUCGGCGAUCACCUCAGAUAGAUUGUCAAGCUAGGUCAUCGUGGUCAGUGUCAGCCACCUCCAUCUCCACCGUGGGGUCGCACUAGACGUUGUCGUCAGCCACCACAGCCGGAGCCCUCGCAACUCUAGCCUUCUCAACUAUGAAUUCUUCAUACGGCAACACUUACCGCACUGAGAGCAGCGCUCGUGGUACCAGGGUGGAGAUAGGGGGUGGACAAGCGCCCAUGCCCCCUAUGAAUGUGAAUUUUCCAAAAAAAAAAACUUAUUCAACAUUGUUGCCCCCAAAUAUUCAAAAAAAUCAACUUUAUGUUUCCGCCCCUGGUACGACACCACACGCUUAUACUUGCUCUCGCACUCCUUGCCACUACGGUUUGGCGUGGACUUGUUUUCCUGUAGCCACGUGUCGCUGGCCUUGCACACCUGGAGGCACAUGCGAAUCGAACAAAACUUAGUGCGAUUAAAUUAGAUGGGUGGAAAUAGAAUGUCGAUUUUAUUUUCUUUUGCUGGAUUUUAAUGUUAUUAUUAGAUUGAGUGUCAAUGAUUACAAAUACACAAAACACAAUUUAGUUAUCUUAUUACAAGGAUACUCUAUUUAGUCAAUAUAUAUGUUUUAAAAAAUCAACUUAUUCAUUGCUAUAAUAUACGUUAAUUAAUUAAUUUAUUUAUGUAUGAUUGAAACAAUUAUUUGUACUUUCAUUUAUUUUAUGCAUGAUUCGAACAAUUAAUUUCUAUAGAUUUUGUGACCGUCCCGGUUAAUAAAAAAGCACCACCUCGUAAAUUUAUUUGUGUACUAGUGAUGGAUCGUUGGGUGGUGGCUCCAUCACUACAUACAUCACGGUACAUCCUCCUAAGUAUUCAAAGGAAGUGUCCAUGAAUUGCAUUAUUGUUUUGUUAUAUAUGCUAUAUUAUUCAAUUUAAAUUAUUAAUAAUAUUGACACUGCCGCACUGUCAAAAAGUAAAAGGGAAUGAAAUUACUAAUAAAGUCAUUUCUGUUUUGUAUAUUGAUGUUGCAAACUUAACUUAAAUUUUCCAUACAGAUCCUGAGGAACAAUACUUCACAAGGAACUCCUCUAUUUUUUGUGGUGAUUUUAAAUGCUAAAAAGCUUAAAAAUGUUCGGAUAGAAUUAAAAAAAGUUUGGCAUUCAUGAUAUGGUGAUUUCUUGUGCAUAUGCGAGGUCAUAAUAUUCCUGGCUCCGGAAAAAAAAACUGGCUCCGUUACUUUGUUUCCCCCAUACGAUUUCAAAUGACGUGUUGGCAAGCAUGCGUAGGAGGUGGAGAAGCAAAUAGGUCAGUGAUUUGAAGCCGCGAGAGCAGUAGGGCAUACAAUUUGAGGGGAGGUUAAUGCGAUGGAGUAUUGUGACUAGUAGUGACAGUGCUCGAAGAAGUAACAGCAAGUGGCAAGGUAGAGGGUGGGUAGUGAGUAGUGACUGGUUGGGACUGGAUUGUGGCAGAUAUUGCUCUCAAGCUCUCUAGGGUAGCACACGAUUUUCUCUCCCCCUAGCUUCAAUUUCGGAGUGUAUUUUGGGCCUAUGGGUCCAUAUUUCUCCCUGGUUCUCCCCCAAUCUAGGAGGGAGGGAAUAUUGCGGAGCAAAGGUGCUGCCCCAUCCCAAAAAUAGUUGGGAUUACCUUUGGUUUGCUCCUGCUCCUUCUCCAUGCGGCAACGCCUAGCUGCCACUUCUUUUCCUUCUCAUCCCAAAUUGUUCCACAUCUGAUUUUUCUUCUUCCCUUACCGUCAAGAAACCACAUGCCAUGAAGGGAGAUAAUGAAAAGGGAUUUCAAUGAGGUAUUGCACAUUGCCUUACCCCUAUAUUUUUUGAUUGAUUUAGUUGAGUUGUUAUAUUUUGUUGUUCAAAUUGACCUUUGUAUUCAGUUUGGGCAAAAAAAAAUGCAUGGAUUAUCUAGCAUUGUGCAUUACGGGUGAUGUGACCUUGUGUUUUGAGAACAAAGUCAAUUCUUCUCCUCCUCAGAAAUUACAAUUGUUUUAAUCAUAGAAAAUUUACUCUAGGAUGACAAUUCUAAGAACAAGGAGGAUUGCAAACAACCAUUAUUACUACAAAUUGAAUGUGCACAUGAUUUUUUUUAAAGAAGAAGCACAUUGUACCACUAUUUUGCACAUUGUCAUUUGAAUUUUAUUCAAUGUGUUCUCACUAGUUUUAUUGUGAUGAUCCACAUAAAUAGUUUAUAAAUGUAUUCUACGAACACAGACUAUAUGAAUAAAAUAUAUGGUUUUACUCUAGUAUUGCCAAAUAGUAGUAAUCUUAGUUCAAUAAUGGGCGCACAACCGUAAAUGGCCAUAAUUCUUGUCGACGGCUAGACAUUUUUUUUAUCUUGGCAAGCCAUAUAAGAGUAAAAUUGUACAUAUAAGAUAUUUAACUCAACUAGACACACCAAUUUUUAUUAAGAAAAUGGAUUUUUACCUAAUAACAAACCCUAAGAAUAACCAUUUAAAGACAUGGCGUAUGACUCAUGUUGUUCGUGUGGAUAUCAUAGUUUCAAUGCAAAUGUGUGAUCGUCAAUCUUGGAGAGUCAAGUAGUCGCAGUUAUCAACUAGUUCUUUAGAUUUACACCUAUGUUCGUGAGAAUGAAACAUGCUACACACCUCAUGGAUGCCUUCUACAUCAGAUCCAACCUACAUGAUAACAACUGAAUAAACCUUCAAAGCCAUUUUUAGAAAACUAAAUCAAUUACUAUUAGAAAAUAUGGUACGUAACGCUCAACUUACCCCAGUGAUAUUCUUGUUGAAGGAAGCAUUAACAACAAAAGAUGAAUCAGGUUCCUCAGCAUCUCGAUCAAACACAUCUCCUUGCACCAUAGAUAGGCACUGUGUAGUCGUCUCUUGAUUUAAUCUAUGGUGGGGAUCGAUGGAUCAUCUUUACAAAAAAGUGUUUGUUGAACAAUUCAAUGAGGUACUUAUGGAAUUCUCCGCGAACAAAAGACAAUAGCCAAUAUGUUUGGUAGAUGUGUAUAUGUUGGUUUGGGGUGCAACUAUAUGUAUAUGUAGGUUUGUGCAGCUUGUUUUGGCAUAUUUUGAAACCAAAGAAUUGAAUUUCUAGUUAUUAGUUGGUUUAUCUCUAGUUGUACAUUUGGAAUGUUAGGAUAUGAUCAGGUUUUCAAAAAGCAAAAAAAAAAUCAUUAGGUGAUAUAUGUGUAUCAACAUUGACACUGGUGUUAGUGUCCUAGUGUGGUCGUGCAAUUACCAAGACAAUUAUUGUGCAAUCACUAGGACAACUUGUGAUAAAAACAAGUGCUCAAUAAAUCCACAAAAAUAUCAUAUGCCAUGAACAUAAUGCAUCAACUUGAGUGGAAUCUAUCUGACAUCACUAUUCGCCUAAACACGGUGUAAACACUACACGGUGGUACACCAUUUUCAUUUAAUCAUCCGUCUAGCCCGUUUAGCCCGAAUAAUGGCUAAAUGGUAGAUGAGUGACUGUUUACCAUUUAGUGUUUAGGAAAACAUUGCCUAAUAUAAAUUAAGAAUCGCAACAUAAGAUCAAACUAUAGUGUAUAUGGGGGAUUAAUUUAGUUCCUAAAUCAAAUAAAGGACUACAUGUAGUCAAAAUUGGAUAUUCUCAUAGCGGAACAAUGGUGAUACAAAUUCAUAGUUAGGAAUUUAGGAUGUUUCUCCGUGAGAGGUUAGGGGAGACUCCUCUGAUGUCUUAUUGAAUGGAGGAGAUUCCACUACCUGGCUGAGUUAACAACUUGAGGCAACCAUGACGAACUACAAGGCCAUGGAAGGGUGCGCUAAGGUGCACCAAAUUGGAGGAGUACUGGGUAGCAGCAAAGACAGGGUCAAUCAGGGCACAGUGGAGCCCACAUGGUAUGAGAUCCAUGAUGAGAACUCCAUUGAAUGUGGGGAUCAUAUGUGACAUUAUGAUGCUACUCCAGUUGCGGGGUUGUGGGUUGGGACGAUAAUUGCGAGGGUGCACACUCAAUUUAGGUUUUCUUGUGACAUCAUUGACAUGAUUACCAAGAUUUUCUAAUAGCCUUUUUCCGAUAGAUAAAAAAUACUACAUUAUUUAUGACAACAAUCUGAUUGUUUUACGGUUGGACGUCAUUGUUCAUGGUUGUGGGAGAGAAUGUCCAUUUAGAUAUACUUACUAUUUUUGAAUGAUGAAAUUUACUCUUAUGUACAAGGAGUAGUUUUUCUGUCAUUUUAAUGUAGUGACCUUUUUGCAUAGAGGAUGUAUUAAAUACAUAUAUUAUAAACCGUUAGGUGAAUGUGGUUUUACAUUUGAGAGGUUUCAUCAAAGGACAGCGGCGCUUUGCUAGCAUAUUGAAUACUAUUGAAUGUGCAAGGCAUGGAAUAGUGGGGGGCUGCUCAGAUUUGUCCUAGUGUGUGUGGAGGGUGCUCAGAUUUGUCCUUCCUUAUUACUUUGCUCAUGAAUUGUAGAAUUUUCAAAAAGUGGCAUACUAAAGCAAUCCCAAUAUGUAUCAUUUCUAUUUUAAUGAAAAAUGCAUGUUCCUAAUAACUUUAGUAGAUGAAAUUGCAACUAAUUUGAUCAACCUUAUUUUUCUUGUUCUUAGGGUUAAUUCAAUGGACUAUUUUGACAAAGUUACUACACUUUCUUAAGAAAAAAAUAUACAAUUACAUAUAUGGUAAAUUUGAAGAGGAGUUUACUCACAAAAAUGAUUCAAAAAUGUUUUUCUUUAUAAGGAAACCCAUUCUUUUUUUACUAUUGGGGAAACAUUGUGAGACAACAUAUUAUACAAGUAAUUUUCUUGAACCAUGAGUCGGAAUUGUGAAAACACUUCCUUUUAUGUAACAUGGUGAUUACUUUUUCAGGUACCCUAUGUCAAGUAUAUCCAUGAUAAAUUUCUGAACUGACCACUAAGUGAGCUCCUGCAUCCUACAAAAUGGAUGAAGUGAAUGUGGAAAAUGUGCCACAGCUAUAUGUUCCUUCUGAAUCUAUCAAUUUAGUGGAAAGUUUGAUUGAUUCAGAACCUCCUGUAUCUUGCAGAAUGAAUGAAGUAAAUGUGGAAAAUGUACCACAGAUAUCUGUUCUUUCUGAAUCAAUUGAUUUAGUGGCAAGUUUGAUUGAUUCAGAACCUCCUGCUUCCUUUGAUUACACUAAAAGUGCCCCGGCUAUUCAUAGUAGACAUCUAAGUGAGGAUUUAAGUGCCCUUUCAAUUAAUGAUUUGCGUUUGAACAAUGGAGAGCAAAAUUGCAAUAACCAGAUUGAACGGAAGGGCAUAAGUAGUCAUUCUAGACAUUUUAGUGAAGAUUUAAGUCACCUUGCAGUUAAUGAUUUAUAUGCAAACAAAGGAGAGGAGAAUGUCCAUUACUUGGGUGAACGAAAGGUAGAAAGUCGCCCUAACUCUGCUGAAAGAAACAUUUAUAAGGCCGCAGAGAUUGCUGAGCGGUUCAUUCAAUCUAUAGAUAAUAGGGUGCUUGUUGACACUGGAGCACCAAUAGAAUCUGUUAAAGAGGCUGUAAGCAAAUUUGGAGGCAUUCUUGACUGGAAAGAGGUAAUAUCUAUUCUCCUAAUAUGCACUUUGUAUGUCUCAAUGCCAUUGUUUUUUUCUUUUCCGUGUUAACUUAUGAAAUUAGCAUGUCUCUCCAUUCCAUUUGUUUUGUGUAGAGACGUAAGAAUGUCCAAAAUGAGCUUGACAAGGCACUGGAAGAUGCUCCUAAGUACAAAAGAAGAGCAGAAGUUGCAGAAGUUGAGAAAAAUAAAGUUGUCAUGGAAUUGUGUACCACUAGGAGAACCAUAGAAGGGUUGAAGCUAAAUUUGGAGAAGACGCAAACUGAGGCAAUACAAGCACAGCAAGACUCAGAGUUGGCUGAUAUACGAUUCAAAGAGAUUCAACAGGGAAUUGCCUGUAGAGAGAGUGCUGCAGCAAGAGCAGAGAUUGAGCUUGCAAGAUAUCGUUAUGCUAGUGCAUUAACAGAACUACAUUUAGUGAAGGAUGAGAUACAACAACUUCAGAAGGAGUACACAUCCUUAAACACUAAAAGAGACAACGCUGAAACAAAAGCAUGUGAAUCCAGUGUUGCAUCUCAAAAGAUUGAGAAAACUGUGGAUGACCUUACCCUCGAAAUUAUCAGAUUGAAAGAGUUGCUCACCUCUUCACAAGCUACUCAUAUUAUAGCAGAGGAACAAAAAUUGAAUGUUACUUUGGCAUAUCAACAAGAAAAGGAGAAUUGGCAAAAUGAACUGAGGCAGGUUGAUGAGGAGGUUCAGAGUAUGCGUGAUGCGGCUUCAGUCAACAAAGAUCUUGAGUCUAAACUAAAAGUUGCCUCUACAUUGCUAGUGAAGUUGCAAGAUGAGUUUUCUAGUUAUUUGAAAGGGGAAUGUUCCCAAGAGGUUAGUGUAGAUGGAGAUGUAGAGAUACCUAUGGUUAUUACCAAAAUGAAGCUAGCAAAUGCUAGGAAGGAGCUUGAGGACAUGAAGGCAGACAUUAAAAAGGCCAAAGAUGAAGCCAGAAUACUUUGGAAUGCUGCUGCUACAUUACGAGCUGAAAUAGAGAGGGAGGAGGCAGAUCUGUUAGCAUUGAAACACAAAGAGCACCUAGCUUCGCUUUCUGUGUCAUCAUUCCAGCAAGAGCAAAGCAACAUGACAUAUGAGCUCAACAUCGUCCAUGAAAGAACAAAAGCAUCUAAGAUGCCUACAGAGCUACAACAAGCAACUGAAGAAGUGGAACAAGCACAGGCUAAGGCACAGAUGGCCCGUUAUGAGGCGGCAAAAGCUAGGGAAGAGGCGGAUCAAGUCAAGGCACAAUUUAAUGUCAUCAAAUUGAGGCUAGAAGCUGCAUUACAGGAGAUACUUGCAAUGAAUGCAUCUAAAGAAAUUGCGACCGCCUCAGCAAAUGCUUUGCAAGAAUACAAAGAUGAAGCACAAAUAGAGCCCCAAGAUGAACGGAUAAGCAACAACUAUAUGACGUUAUCACUUGAAGAGUACGAUGCCUUAAGCAAGAAAGCCCAAGAUGCUGAAGGUCUCGCCAAGAAGCGAGUCAUCAAGGCUGUUGAGAAAAUCAAAGAAGCCAAGGAUGCAGAGGUGAGGAGCUUGAAUCAGUUGGAGCAGUCGACCAAGAAGAUCUAUGAGAGGAAGUUGGAGUUGAGGGCUGCGCAGGAGAAAGCCAAUGCAGCGCAAUAUGGCAAGCUCACCAUGGAGAACGAGCUGAGGAAGCGGAGGGCCAAGCAUGAGCAACAAAGGAAAGUAGGAGAGUCAAGCCAUGCCAUUUCUGACAUCCCCAAUUUGAAGAGCACUUCAUUAUCUUUUGAUGCAGCAUCGUCAACCUCCAAUCCUCACAUGGUUGGAACAUUGUCUAGAGCGGACACUAUAGGAGCAACUAGGGUGAAAGAGCCAAAGACACGAAAGUCACUCUUUCCACGGUCCUUAGUGGCCAUGUUCGCGUCUAGGAAGAAGACACAUUGAAAGUUAAAUUCCUUUUCAAUGAUAAUGAUGUGCUAAAUUCUUUGGUAUGACUUAUUUGUAAAUGUACUCUUGUAGAAAAUAGGGUACAAUUCAAAGAAGUGUUUCUGAAAUUUACUCUGGUUUAUGUUGUAGAUUAUAUCAAACACCAUUAUUGAGUUGCCCCUCUCUGACCACCGUGCUAAUAUUGUUAGGAGCAUGCAGCAUGCCUUAUUGACUGCUGUAAUCUAGUUAGCUUGGGCAAUCUCACUUUCCUUUUGUGACAUGACAAAAUUGUUGUUCGUUUGUUGAAAGAAUCAAUUCAAGAAAUUGCAUAAGCUUAUGAGGAACACAAAAUUUUUAGACCAUGGAGUUGCAUAUACACAUCUUCCUCCCAAGUCCAGCUCAAAAUAAAAAACCUUCCUCUGAAGCCCCAAGCAAAAAAACAAACAAACAAACACAAAAAACAACAAGAAAAUUAAAAAAAUGCUGCAUGAAUGUAGGUUCUCUUAUUAUAAAUACAUUUAUGAAAAGAAGAUAAAUAAUUCUGAAAUUUCUUUCGAAUCUGACUUCUGGGGAAAAAUGAUAUGUUACAUACACGAUCGGAUCUGAUCAAACUUCGUCAAAAUCAAUCAAACAAUUUGAGGCCACCAUCCACGUCCUCGCAACGCCUGAGACACCGGAGAACGGCGCCGAGGUCGCCGUUUGUCUUGGCCCUGCAGUCAUAAGUCGGCGGCGCGUGGAAGCACGGCUCCAUGGACAUUGCCCGGACACAGGGCGGGUGUGCCACCGUCUGGUUCGUCGGCGGCAGUAGCAGCCACGGGCUCACCCCGGCGAGGCCGUGGCCGACGUAGCCCACCGUUGACCACCCGCUCACCACGGACACGUCGCAGUAGCUCAGCAGGAACAUCUCCACCAGCACCUUGUGGUUCUGCGGCUGGUUUCCGGCUCCCGGUGGCUGCAGCACGCUGACCGGCUCGCCGGUAACCGUGGCGUGCUCGUAGUACAUGGACUUGAGCCUCUCGGCGUACUCCUGCUGCGCCGAGAUGACGAGCACGGCCUUCGACGACGUCGCAGCCGCCUCCUUCUUCUCACUCGACGCCACUUUGGGGUCUACCUCGGGCAGGAUCUUCUCCUGGCUCGUGCAAGCCGCGAUCUGGUUGAAGUACGCCUCCGUCGACACGGGGUUCCCGGCGAGGGUCGUGAUCUGAAUCCCAAUCUUCUCAUCGAACUUGGCCAUGUACGACGUGUAGUACCCCUGGAUCAUCUUCCACACCUUGUUGGACGGGUGGAACAGGUACCUUCCGAUGUGGUGGAACACCGUGUCCGUGGCCGGGAACAUCCACCGGAGCUCGUCCUCAAACUGCGGCACGAGGAACAGCCCCGGCGCGAAGUAGAGGUCGGAGCGCAGCAGCAGCCAGUUCACCUUCCCCAGCACGGUCUGGUCGUCGUCGCAGAAGAAGCGCUGGUCGGGCAGCUGGUAGUCGUGCGCCAGGUGGAGGUACGCGUACGACGGCAGCGACUCGGACCGCACGCCGACGGGGUCCUCGUCGCUGAUCUUCUUGGCCCCGAGCAGGGUCCCGUAGCUAUGCUCGCUGCCGCGGCGGAGCUGCGUGAGGUUGUGCACGGGGAAGCCCGGGGGCAGCUCCCACGACGACGCGCCAGGGAAGGGCUCGCAGAAGAGGCCCGCCAUGUCCUUGGCCAUGUGGACGAGGAAGACGCGGCGGGUGAGCAGCGCGUAGAGGAAGGCGGACGCCAUGGAGACCAUGCGGUCGCCGAGGUGGUUGCCGGGCGUCCACACGAGGUAGCUGCACUCGGCGAGGCCCAUGCUGGUGUGGGCGGAGGCGAGCUGCCGCACGGACUUGUCGUACAGGGGCGUGCCGGGCCCGCACCUGCGGUGGAGCGCCUCGUACUUGCGCAGCCGCGACACGAGGUACGGCGACGGCGAGUGCGGCGACGCCUUGCGGUACAGCGAGGAGAGGUACCGGCUCAGGCAGGUGCUCUCGCUGACGUCCGGCGAGAGCAGGCCGCCGAGGAGGAUGUCGCGGCUCUCCAGAGGCGAAUCCGAGGGCUCCGACGACGGCUUCGGCUCGUCAUCUGCAUGGAUCGGGCGGGUCGAUCGGGUAAGCGAACACGCUUUGCUGUCUGCAUUUGCGAAUGCUGCGUGCGACCGCGCGAUGCAGACAAGCACGUACCGUAGUGCACGGCUACUCUGAUGCCGAUCUGCUGCCACAGGUCGAACAGGGUUGGCCGCCCGGGUGACAGCGCGAGGAAGAGCGGCAGCGUCGUGAAGCAUAGCGCGACGAGCAGGCCGACGGGCCACGCCGCGCUCCUCACCGCCGGCUGCGGCAGCGGCCUCAGCUUCCUGUCCAUUCCGAUCCUCCGUCGAUCGCCCGCCGCCUUGUCUGCGCCCGCAAAGAGAAGCCAACCUUGGCGCUGGCACGACGGGAGCAGAGGACUCUGAUGUCAGGUCUACGCUUCAACCAGAUGAACAGUCCUUGGGAUCCGGAGCGAGCGCACUUUUUCGCCGCUCGAAGGAACGGCGAGUCGGCGGCAUCGUGUAGAAGAUGCAAACUUCCAUUGUUUAUGCAAAAUGCAAGUAUGCCUCGAUUGUUUUCUCCGAGCUGCUGCUUGGAAUGACUCCAAUGGUCGCGCUGAAGUAGCGUGAGCUCUGAAGUCUGAACCCUCAUCGGACAUGCGUGCGUAAAGAUCAGAAAAUGCAGGCCAGCUGUUUUCCAACAGGCUGCCGAGAAAUUUAUUCGGCCCAUUUCCCUGUGCCUUGGCCAUCUGUUGACUCAGGCCCGGAUUAGAGCAACUCCAACAGAAGAGCUAUCCAUGUUAUGUAUUCUAUAUUUGGCUAUUUUGGAAGAGAAAAGAGAGUCCAACAGCUAUUGUAUUUGGUUUGCUAAAAUAGCAAGUCAUCUAUCCCGGAGUUCUCGCAUGGUAAAUAUAGCUUGCAUGUCCCGCUAGCCAUAUGAUUUGCCAUAUAGAAAGACUGUUGGAGAUUUUUGUUUUUUUACAUGAUUUUCUAUUUUAGAGGUUGGCAAAAUCUUGAAUUUAGCCGUCCAUUUUUAUCAACUCUCUUGGAGUUGCUCUUAGAGCAUCUCCAACAACUUGGUAUUUCAACAUGCUAUCCUACCAAAUUUGCUAAAAGCAUAAAAAUCCUCCUCCAACAACUCCUUAUCUCAACUUGCUAAAUUUCCCAAGUUGCUAUCCAGAGGUUUCUACUGCCGAGAUUUGUCAAGUUGCUAUCCCGAGCGCAACUUGUUGGAGACACAUAUUCUUUUACCAAGUGAGCGGGUCCUAUCUGUCAUCCUCUAUUUUUACCAAGUGAGAAUAGCAACUUAUUGGAGACACAUCCUUUUUUCUUUUGCUAAACAAAUUAGCAACUUGCUAUAACUCAAGAUUUGACAAGUGAAUUUUACCAAGUUGUUGGAGAUGCUCUUAGGUCUACAAAGUUUUUAGAUCAUAAAAAUAUAUAAAGAUCAUAAAAAUAUAUCUACAAACUUCAAAAAUAUAGAUUUAGCUCUCAAAAAUGAGAAAAAUAUCAAAAAAAAAGAAACAUCCCAAAACAUUCUAAUCGAUGGCUAAAUGUGUUUUAUAAACUUUCGCAGCAAAAACAUGAGAUGUACCCAUGCUAUGCAUUCAUGCUAGUUAUGUAUUAUGUUUUUGUUCUAAAAAAAUUUCAAAACGUGUUUAGAUAUCAAUUAGAAUUUUUUUUGGUAAUUUUAAUUUUUCUUCUCUAGAUAUUUUUGCAAUCUCCUAGAACUAAAUAUAUUUUUUAGAGUUUCUAAAGAUAUUUUCACGAGCUCUAUUUUACUUGGAUAUUUUUUUCCUAAUCUACAUCUAUGAUUUUUAUCAGAAUUUUUAGAAUUUUACAUAUGUUUUUCUAUGCAUUAAAAUCUUAUCCAGUUUUUAACUAAAAAGGACAAAACAACCUUUAGAACCCAUUCAAACCAGAUAGUGAGGUAAUUUGAACUAUUUUAAGAAGAGUCUGUAAUGGGAUAAAAUGUCUUGUUUUGAAGUUUGAGCAGAAAAUUCGCUGGAUGAAAAAGGUACUCUUUUCCAUGAAGGUCCGAGAAAAUCUCCAGGCCUGGAUGGCGUUAGAGGGCCUACCUCUGACGUAGGCAGCUGGCAGCCUCAUGCCAAUCUCGCCGCGCCGGCGUGUUCCAUUUUGAGGCGGUACCUCGCAAUCUCCACCCGAUCCAUCGUCAUUGGCGCCUUGGCGGAUUGGCCUGUCCUUUUAUUUUUGUGAGCAGAGCAAAUAGAAACAAAACCUAGCUAACCCAUUUUCAGGUUGAUGUUGAACCAACCACGUCGACGCCUGAGUCGCUGAAGCGGAUAGGAUCGCAUGCAUGUUACAUCAAGGGACCGCAUACACAGUCACGUUGGAGUCGUUGGUUGAUACAAACGCCGUGUACAGGCUCAACAGCGAGCCCAGCCGUCGAUCAUGUAAUACGCGAAAAGGUCUAAUUGGCGCGGUGUGGGACGGGGCUGCGGCGACGGCGGCCAACGUGUCGCUCGCUCGCUUCGGAUGAUUAGUUGGGUACGUAGUUGAUCCGAGCACGUCCUGCACCGGGGGUGAUUCGACUGGACAGGUCUGGCGCAAGCAAGGAACCAACGCCCCACCACGUCCGCGGAGAAGGCGAGACGCAACGAAUCAUGGCAUCCGCCAGGCAUGAUCGAGCUCGACCUCGAGCGGGAGCGCCCGCUGCAUCCAUGACCCCGGCGCCUCUCCUGCCCACGCCAAAUGCUUUCCAUCCAUCCAAGCAAACCCAAAUGACAUCUCAUAUAAACUAUACUACCUCCGUCAAAUAUUUUAUUAUUAUAUAGGAGCAGUUAGUUCCGUUCUUCUUGUGCACCGCAACCCACCACUGUAGACUGUCAAAAUUAUUAAUUGUCUGUCUCCUAACGAAUCGCAGCAACGAGACUUGGAACGGGUCCGGCGUAUCAGAUGAACAUGUAGGGUGCACCAGAGUUUCAAAAUAUUCAAUUCCUGAACAAGCUGUGCCGCCCGGGCAAAACAAAACAAAAGUCGCGAGCCGGCGGCAACCGCAGCUGUCCUUCCGAGUCUUCGCUUCCAUCUCGUCGUCGUCGUCGUUGCACCACCCUCCAAUUCCGCUCGGUCCAAAUCCGCGUCCUUGUCGCGCAUUGCAUUAUUGGAGGAUCGAUCCAACUGGCGCCACCGCAGUAAUGAUCCCCUUCUCCCUCCGCCUCCUCCUCGCCGGCGCCCUCGUCCUGCUCGUCAUCGGCGGCGUCGCCGAUGCCCUGUCCGGUGAACCUCCCAUCACUGCCGCCAUUAUUAUUCUCCCGUUUCCUCCUACACACGUACUCGAUGAGCUGUUCGGCGUCGUCUUAUUAUUCCCUGACCCUGAGUUGGCUCGCUCACCUCGCGCGCAGGGUACCAGAUAAGCUGCGGCGCGACGUCGGCCAAGGUCGCCGGGAACGUGACAUGGGUCCCCGACGGGGCGUUCAUCAACCACGUCGGCAAGGCCGCGGAGCUCACCGGCUCCCCGGGCGUGAUGCCGAUGCUCUCCUCCCUCCGGUACUUCCCCACGGCCGACGCGUCGUCGUCGUCGUCCGCCGCCACGACGACGAAGUACUGCUACGUGGUCCCGGCGGCGAUGCACGCCAGGUACCUGGUCCGCACGACGUACUACUACGGCGGGUUCGACGGCGGCGAGUCCCCACCGGUGUUCGACCAGAUCAUCGACGGCACGCGGUGGAGCGCGGUGGACACGGCGGGGAGCUACGCCCGGGGCCUCGCCACGUACUACGAGGCCGUGGUGGAGGCGACGGGGAAAGAGCUCAGCGUCUGCCUCGCCAGGAACGCCGCGACCACCGCGCCCGGACGAAGCCCCUUCAUCAACGCCCUCGAGGUGGUGCCGCUGGAAGGGUCCGUGUACAGCGCCGUCAACUUCACCGCCUACGCGCUCAGCACCAUCGCGCGCCACAGCUUCGGCUACAACGGCUCCAUCAUUGGGUAAGCAAAAAAAAAAGAACCGGCCGGCGGCCGGCGGCCGGCGAGCACCAUUAAUUCAUGGAUGUCUCGGCGAGAACGAAGAUAGAUACGUGUACAGCCUACUAACUGACCAUGUCUCGUGCGAAAUGUGCGACGAUCUAGCUAUCCAGGUGACCGGUUCAACCGAUACUGGGAGCCGUACAGCGACGGGAGCAUCCCGGUGGUGGAGAGCCAGGCGAGCGUGGCGACGGAGGCGUUCUGGAACAAGCCUCCGGAGGCUGUGUUCCGGCGAGGCCUGACGGCGAGCCGAGACAAGAGCCUGGACCUCCAGUGGCCGCCGGCGCCGCUCCCGGCCGCGACCUACUACCUGGCGCUCUACUUCCAGGACAACCGGGGGCCGAGCGCGCUCAGCUGGAGGGUAUUCGACGUCGCGGUCAAUGGCCAGCCGUUCUUCACCGGCCUCAACGUCUCCACGGCAGGGUCCAUGGUGUACGGCGCCCAGUGGCCGCUGUCCGGGCAGACGAGGAUCACGCUGACGCCGGCGACGGGGUCCCCCGUCGGCCCGUUGAUCAACGCGGCGGAGCUCAUGAUGGUCGUUCCGCUCGGCGGGAGGACGCAUCCCAGAGACGGUAACCUCCUGUCCUGAUCGGUGCACUUCUCGGUGCCAUCCAUGGCUGAUAGAUACCCGGACACUGUUCGCUCAAACCACCCAUCUCCUUGCUGCUGCAGUAAUCGGCUUGCAGGAGCUGGCCAGAGGAUUCACGAACCCGCCGCCGGACUGGAGAGGUGAUCCUUGCUUGCCCAAGGGGAACUCGUGGACUGGUGUCACCUGCAACCAAGAUCCACUCGCAAGAGUAACAGGGCUGUAAGUUUGCAGCACCAGUCAUAUGACAAUGGAUUGUUCUCUUGUAUAUACUUGUGAUGAACAAUGAAUAAUGGUCAGUCUGGUCAUUUGCAGCAACCUCACAAAUUUCAGAGUUGGAGGAUCAAUAUCUGACAACAUUGCCAACCUGACUGCAAUCUCGAGCAUGUAAGCUUCUGGAACAAAUUGGUGUAAAUUUGCAUGCUUAAGUGGGAAAAAAAUGGAUUGCUAAAAUUGAAGCGAUAACUGUUGCAGUUGGCUUGUCGGGAACAAUCUGACCGGACCGAUUCCAGAUAUGAGCCUCCUGCAUCAUCUAGUGUCUUUGUAAGUAUAAUAAUAACGAUCGGUAAUAAAUAUAAUCACCAACGGCUAAAUAUCCUUUCUGGAUAAUAUGACGUUGAAGAUCUUGGUUGCUUCUUUCACCUAAUCCUGUUGCAUUCCUGAUUGGAAAUUUGAAGGCACCUGGAGGACAAUGCACUGACAGGCUCGCUCCCUGAACCGCUCGGAAACCUUACAAGACUUGAAGAACUGUAAGUGCCUCUAAUAUUUAUUAAUCCACUCCACUCAAUGAUGAUCCUGGCGAUUUUAACCUACUGAUCACUCGAGUUAAUUCCUAUUUCGCAGGUUUGUGCAGAACAAUAACCUACAAGGAACAAUCCCAAGCAGCAUCAGUAACAGAGUGAUGCUGGACACAGGGUUUAGGUUCCAGUAAGUGACUACAUUUAGCGAUUGUGGUUUCGUAGCAUCCUGCAGUGACUGACGAAUUACUUGCUGUACGCUGACAGGUACACACCUGGGAACAACCUUAGCUAACAAGGGCAUUCCAUUACAGAAGGCAAAAUCGUCUGACUGGUGGUCUUUGUAUCAUGGUGUUGCUUUUCUUGCCCAAUUUUGGGUGCUUCGGACCCUUUUCCUAUUCGUUUUGGAGUCAUGAUAUUUUUUUGUACAAUUAAAAUGUAACCUUAUUUUUUUUUCUGUAAAGAUGCAUUUUGUUAUAAAAACGAAGACUAUAUUUUGUUCAAUGAGAAAAACAAGAAGGCUAAUUACUUACACAAAUUCAUAAGAGCAAUGCAUGUACAACCCAUCCGAACAACUUCUUUGUCACCAGAAUGUCAAUCGUUGAGUGGUCGCUCACUUAUUUAUGAAUCAAAAGCUGAAACCAUUUGGUUAUAUAUAUAUAUAUAGGUGUAGAAUACUAUUCUACACCAAACUACUAUAAUGAACAGAUUUCAGUAUUCGCAUUUCAGUAUUGUUCAGUAUUUUGUGGUCCUAAGUGUAGUGUUGGAUGAUACUGAACGAUGUUCAGUACCGCUCAGUAUUUUUCUGCUCAAUAUUAUUCUACACCUAGAAUAGUAUUCUAUACCCUAGGUGUAGAAUAUUAUUCUACACCGCAACGUUCAGUAUCAUCCAGUUGUAUAUAUAUAUAUAUAUAUAUAUAUAUAUAUAUAUAUAUAUAUACACACACACAAAAGCGUGAAGCAUUUCUCAUUAAGAAAUGCUUCUGUGUCAGGCCAUACAAUGCAGCCCAUGAAGGUCAGCCCAGCCCGUACUGUUGCAAGAUAUCGAGUCAAGAUAUCUCCCUCGUGUCUUACUCUUGUCGGCUCAAUUAUCUCCUCCGCCUUCCUCGCGCUCAUCGCCCCACUUCGCCGUCGCUGCAACUCCCACUCCCGCCUCUUCGCUGGCGAUGACCGCCGCCUCCCACACCCAAACCUCCCCGGCGUCUGCAUGACGACUCCCCCGAACCCCUCCCCGCUCCUCUCCUCUCGCCCCAACCCCUCCCUCCCUCUCCACCGCCGCCCCCGGUUCCCCCACUCUCCGGCCGCCGCCAACACCACCGGCGCCGCCUCGGCGCCGGACUGGUUCCGCCCUCGCCGUCCUCCGGACGCGGACCCGUCCACCUCUCCCGGAGGCCGCGUCGCCGCGCGCGAUCCUGGCGUUCGCGUCAAGGCCAAGGAGGGCGCCGAGGAGGAGAAAGGUAAGAAGGGUAAGAGGAGGAGAUGGUGGGAGCGAUGGUCGGGGGACAAGGAGAGCUACCUGGUGGAUGAUGUGGAGCCGCUCCCCAUCCCCUUGACCGUGCCAGGGACCGAGCCCAUGUCGCGGGAGGAGCUGAACCGCCGGCUUAGCUGCGACGUCAAGAUCGAGGUGAGUGCGGCGGGCCGAGGUGAAAACUUCAAUUUCUGUGUUCUUUUUGGCGUCUUGGGUUUUGGGCGAGGUGAUGAGUUUGGGAUGUGUGAAUUUGGGCUGUAGGAUUGCAAGACGGUUUCGUACGAGUGGACGGGCAAGUGCCGGAGCUGCCAGGGGACGGGGCUGGUCAGCUAUUUCAGGAAAAAGGGCAAGGAGACCAUCUGCAAGUGUGUGCCAUGCGCCGGCAUUGGUAAGAUGAGAUUCCUCGAACUUGAUUUCCUUUACAUGGUACAAUAUUGAUGUUUUCUAAGAGUAAACAUUUAGAGAGAACAAGGACAGAGGUACACAGAACAUCUUACUGGUAGACCUACAAUAAAUCAAGACUUGAGCUUUGUGAAGAUGUGAUGUCAUUGUGAUGAACUACUAGUUGGACAGAUAAUAUACUUUGUCAUGCAGUAGAGCUGUUACUGGUGGAGGUGCAAUUCUAUUAUAGAUCACAUCAUAAUUAUAAAUUACAACACUAGGGUAGUCAGAACUUUGAACCCCAUGACUAAGUUAUUUGCUGCACCUUGAGUUCCUAACCUUGGGCAUUAGGCAUUGCUAUUUUGAGAAGAACCUUAGAUUGUCAUAAAUUGGACUGUAUGUUUAGGAAUAAACAACCUAUUGCCAGUGGCUCUAAUUCCUAAGAGCUCCAGCAUUCACUAUUUUGUCCAUACGGCGUGUUCAUUUCUGUUUGCAUUUGUGUACUGACUACUAAUUGAUUAUAAUACACCAUAGGUGUUUGUAUUGGAAAUCUGUUCAGCAGUAGGUCUGACGUCUGAGUAUUGACUGAAUUGUCUUGUGAAAUGGCGCUUAUUCACAGUCACAGAAAGUAUAACACAAGUUUCUUUGCAAAGUUUGAGAUCCUUAUAAUCUUUUACUAGUGGAGUUGCGUUGGUGUAUCAUCUCCCUGGUUUGUCUGAAAUGAUAGUUAAUGGCUAGUGUCCUACAGAAAUAUAGUUCUGGGAUAUUCAUAACAAUGGUUCUCUGUGUUGUUCUAACAGACUGUCUUUGGUUUAUACAAGUAUACCAUGGAUGCUAAUCACACAAGAAACUAGAACCGACAUGGUUGCAAGUUUUUAGUUGGAGGCAUGAUGACAGAUUAUCAAUGCCAUAGUAAGAAAUUGCUGAAUAAAUUUUAGAUUUCUUGGUGCUCGGAUUGAAUAUGAGAUUUCUAGUUUUAUGCAAUGAACAGUGAUACAGGAUAGUCCCUCAGCUCUUAUCCUUGUGGCAGCACAUAUAUGAAUGGUAAAGUAUAUGCUAUCUGAAAAUAGUAAAUGGGUAGCAGUUCUUUUUUAAAUAGGAUUGUAUUAUAACAUUAAUAUAUAGAGCACAUUAGCACCUUCCAUGAAGUAUGAAGGUGUAGACUACAUCCUCAACAAGCACGACCUUACACCAAGCACAAAGACAUGAACACCUGAACAGGAAGAUCCUUUAGGAUGUGAAGUGUAGAAGGGUGUGGUCGAGUUGACCACACCACCUCACCAAUAUUUGUGUCAUAGGGACUAAAACUCCGCUGGCAUUGGGGUGACAGGGCCUGGAAGAUUUUUUAUGUGAUUGCUGGUGACAGGCGUGCCGGAUUGAUGAAUGACGGCAUGGAAAAUGCAGUGAAGACCUUGAUGUUGGCAACUGUUCUGAGGCACAGAAAGUUGAGAGGAGUGCACCAGACGUCAUGUUACUAGCUGGCAAGUACAUCUGGCAGGCUGCCUGGCAGAGAGGAAGAGAGGGGGGGGGGGGAGAGAGAGAGAGAGACAAAGGAUGAAAACCUCUAGGGGUAGGGGAAGGAGAGAGAGAGGACGGGGGGAGAGCAGGGAAUUUCUGGAGAUGUGUUCAGUGGUGACCGGCAACAGCUUUUAGGGUGUCUGAUGAGAUACUAAUGAUAGUGCAUAAACUACAGAGUACAGACAACUCUUUAUUAUGUAGCUCUAGGCGUUUCACUGACAGGCAAUGGUAGAACUCGGGCAACUGUUACCCUACAUAGAUAUAUUGCUCAACUAUUUGGUUUAGUUAUGUUGUCCUAUAUGUUUCACUGUUUCAAAUGUUCCAAUUUAAUUAUUAUACUAGUCAGAAAAGGUUUUAUCCUAUGCGACAAGUGUUUAUGUGGAACCUUGGAAAGUUACACAUAGCCACUAAAUUUUAGAGCAAUGGAUGACAUUGAUCAAUUAGGUGUCUUAUUCACAGCAAACUUUUGACUGUAUUUUCCCUCAGGGUUUGCCUUGUAUCUUGAAUCCUACCCAAGCUCCUAUCAUCACCAUGAAUUCAUGCUAAUGAUACGUGUAGAUAUGCUUGUAUAAUUAAUUGCCUCCAUUGACUCUCUGCAUUCUUGCUUGACUACGAUCACUGAACACAAGCAUGGUCCAUGUAGCUGGUGGCUGCAGCCACAUUUUCAUUGGAACUGGACCCUAGUAGACCUUAAGUUCAUGUCCUAUGUCAUUUUCUAGACUAGUCACCACACAAUUCACAGUUUUAAACCUUGCCUGAAAUAAACUACUAGAUUCAAACAUCAACAAUUGAUCCAUUUGCUUGUUUCAGUAGGGAUUUCCACUCAUAGGACGGGUUCAGUGGUUUUCUUUUUAACUUCUAAUACAGAACAUGUACCAUGGUAGAUACUGCAUAUAACCUCGCAGGGGAUUGAGAAAUAAGGGAAUGAUAUGUAGUACUGAAACAAUGUACUGCCACUUUACCUGAGAUAAAACCCAGAUGAAUACCUUUCGUGAUAGAUGAAACCCCUGGUGAGAUUGGUAUUAGUUUGUGAGUGUAGUUGUCACUGCCUCAAUGGUCGACAUAUAACUGUAAUUCAUUUGUUUAGCAAUAGUUUUACACUAGAAUGUUCUGCUGAUGCUUCCUCAUUUUGUUUGUUUUUGUGCCAUGGAAAAGUAAAGUUAGAAUUAGACUUUACUGUAGAGCUUGAGGGCAUAUGUCAUGCCAAAGUGUUGGGCUUUCUUUCUAACAGCUUACUGCUCUAUUAUUCUCUUCUACGAGAUUAUAGGCUGACUUCUUCCCAUACCUGUGGAAUGGGAACAUUACCUGUUUUGCAGGUUAUGUGAGGAAAAUCACAUAUCGUGAGGACAUUCAAAAUAUUGACGAGCUAGACAAUGGCAAACUACCAUAGUUUGAAAGGUCUGAAGUCAUUCGGCUGCUGUAAUUUUCUAACUGCUGCCGUAUAGCUUGUGCUCGCAACCUACAAAUUGACCAAUGAUUCUUUCCACCGCACAUUCUACUGUUCAGCCACGAUACAUGAAGGGGUUGUUCUUUAAGCAUUGUAAACUUUGUGUUAAAAAAAAGCAUUGUAAACUUAGCAAUUUGGCCUAGUAAUUGUGCCCCUUUUACCUUUGUUGUUUGCUGACAGAUAUGAUAACGAUCGGUACAGAAAAGAAAAUAAUAAUUUUCAAUGGGAUUCUUUUCUUGGCAUAUGAAACCAUUUUGGUUCGCACGUUGGCAUGGUCCAUCUGUUGCCCUCCUCUUUCUGGUUUGAGAUUGCCUACACUGCAAGUUCUGGAGGAAUCCCAAAUUCAGAAACUUUCUGCAGCUCUCGGGCAUAUGUAUUGCUAGCCGCAGCUCGGCGACGUCCGGCGGGCCUUCUCCGUGUUCGACAGGAACGAGGACGGCAGGAUCAGCGCGGAGGAGGUCAUGACGGAUUGACGGUCCUGCGCAAGCUCGGGCAGAGCUGCAUCCUGGAUAAGUGCCGGAAGAUGGUGAGGGGGAUCGACAGGGAUGGCGAUGGCUUCGUCAACAUGGACGAUUUUAUGGCCAUGAUGACGCGCCCGCGCAGGAAGCCGUGAGCACCCGGCCCAGCCAGCUUCCGUGCACGUCCUGAUGUAAAAUAUGCCGUGCAAAUCAUAUAUCCUGAAUAAGAUGAUCAGGUUUCAAACCAGCGCUCAUUAUUUAGCUUGAUCUUCUCUUAUUCUGUUUAUCUUUCUGCAGCUUGCUGAUGACACGCUAUUAGGAAUUUAGAUAGGACUGGUGAAAGAAAUAUUUGCUGUUAACAAAUGGACCGUCGUCUGUCACUGCUCUUUGCAAUUGCUAGUUUUCUCUACACAGUAGAAUUCCCGCUGCAACAUGUUACGAACACAGAUAACAGCAGGGAUCGGAGUUUAGGCGGGGGAAUGCAUAGCACGACGGGUUGGGAUCAGAGAAGUGCUAGCAUGAGAAGGCAAGAGUUCGUUACAAUAUUCAUCAUAGAUGAUUCUCUCUUCUCUUCCUAUACAUAAGAGUAGUCUAAGGUAGGCAGCCGGUACCCGCCGUUGUCCACUCUUCUCCGCUCACGUGCUUGCUCGGCUCCCUUGACAAUGCACCUUCCUUGGAAUUUCUUUUAUGUAAUUGCCCGUGAUGUGUAGGAAAUGGAGAAGACAAAACCAUUUGUGAAGAGCGCACGGAUCAAUGAAUGAUGACAUGGGCAAGUGCGAUGAAGACUGAUGUUGACAACUGUUCUCAGAGUAAGGCCUUUGGCUUUAAAGCCAAGCCCUAAGUAAGCAACAAGCAAAUCUAACACACAAGCUGCAGGACGAAUCUAGAAAAAUAUUCAGAAAGGGCUUUUUCUACCUUAAGAUAGCUUUAGGCCAUUUUUAAAAUACAUCAAUACCAAAAAAAAUUAUAGAAGGGGCUAAGAGAGGGUUCUAUAGGUUCGACGACCAUAGGUGGGCUAGAGCCCCGGCAGCCCCACCGCUAGCUCCGUCACUACCUGCACAAUAGACUAGUCUCUUGUUUUCUUGUAGAACAUAUUUUUUAAUUGUAUACGGGUCCAACUUAUCUUCACCUUUUUCCAAUCUCUCGUACUUUCCUCCAUCGUCUUUGGCCCUGUUUGGUUCCUCUCGCUAAAUUUUUAGGUAGCUAAAAUUAUUUUAGCUAUUCUUGAGUAAUUAGUAGGACUAAAUUAUUUUUGCUCUUUUUUAGUUAGUGUGUUUGGAACUUUAGCUACUAAAAUAAUUAAAGUUUAACUAGCUAACAUUUAGCGAGAGAAUCAAACAUGCCAGCAUCUGAGGGGAAGAGCUGGACUCGCGACAAGACAAGAAGCAGAGGCGCUCGAAUGAGCCCUCGCCUCCUGCGUAGAGCUGGAGGGCACAUGGCCUCCUUUUUACUUCUACAGAGCAUGAACCAUGGUAGACACUACAUAUAACCUUGCAAGGGAUUUGAGAAGGAUUAAGUCCAUAUUUGGCCCCUCAACUAUCGGCCGAGUUUAAUUUUAGCCGCCAACUCUGAAACCGUCUAGACCUGGCCCCCCAUCUUUCACACUGGUCCAACUUUAGUCCCUGAGUCCGGUUUUGGGCAACGGACCCUGGUUUUGCUUGCCACGGUGGCAACAUUGAACACGGUGGACGCCAUGUAGGCUUGCAGCAUUGCUUAAACAGGCCGGCCCAUUCAGCCCAUGUCUCCAGCGACCGAAACCCUAACCCCAUCCCCCUUCCUCCGCCCGCCGUUUGUCUGCGUCGCCGUCGCCGUCGCCGUCGCCGCGGGCGAUUCCCCCACUGAGGUCUCCCCUGCAUCGGCCUUCGGUACCGAAUGCAUUGAAACAACAGGUAUGUAUCAUGGUCUGUAUCAUGAGCUUGGUAGAUUAGUGGAUAGCCUAGAUUAGUCCAUGGUAUGUAUCAUGAGCUUGUGAUUUUCGGUUGUAGGAAUGGAUCCUUUGGAAUUUCUUGCUGUUAGAUUUCACUUCGAUGGUCAGUUUUACAAUGAUGGGAGGAGGUUGCAUUACAUUGGGGGUAAAGAGGAGUUGUCAUUUGUGGAGAUUGACAAGAUGUCAUUGCCCGAAAUACAGGGCCAUCUUAAAGACCAUUACAAUUGUAGUGACCCUGUUACACUGCACUGGUUGUUUCCUGGGAAAAUGUUAUCAAAUGGGCUCAGAGUGUUGAUGGAUGACAAGGCAUGCAUGGAUAUGUGUCAGGCUAUUACUGAUGGAGGGGCUGCUGAUAUAUUUGUUGAGCGUGUUUUGGAAGAUGAUGCUGAGCAAUCUGUCAACUUAGAAAAACUUUCUGCGUAUAUUUCUUCUCCUGAGAAGAUUGAGAAAGAAGUAGCUCAAUAUAGUAAGUACAUUGAUUGGAUUAGGGACAGUGAUGAUGGUAAUGAGGUUGUCAAGGCAAAAAGUCAUUGAUGCAAGAAGUGUCAGUUAAUGACUCAGCUCCAGUGGAGGAAGGGUACAGUUCACAUAGUGAUGAUAGUGACCAGUCUUACUUGCCUGGUGAUGAUGAGAGUAGUGAAGAUGAUGAAGAGGCAGGCCAAAUCAGAGCAGAUUUGAAAGAGCUAAAGAAGAAAUUGAGUGACAGAGGAAUGGUGGUGGUAGAUGAUGAAGGGCAUGAAGUCAAUGUGGAGAACUUGAUGCCAUCCAAUCCAUUUGCUGAGGGGGUUGGAGUUGAGUCUGAUUCAACAGAAGUGGACACAGAUGAAGAUGCAGAUUCAUAUGAUGAAGAGGAGGGUGAGGUGAUCAGGAAGAAGAGGGAAUUUCCCAGGUUUGAUGGUAGUGCUGAUGUGCCAACUUUCAGUCUUGGCAUGUCAUUUCCUGACAAAGCUACAUUCAGGGAGGCUGUCAUCAAAUAUGGUUUGGCAGCAAGGAAAGUGUUAAAGUUUGUUAAGAAUGAGGCUGCGAGGUGCAGGGUUGUUUGUACUUGGCCUAAGUGUCCAUUUGUCUUGCUCCUAUCCAAGACAUCUAGGGCUGAGAGCUCACAGUUAGCUACAUGCAUAGACAACCACACUUGUCCACCUAGGAGGGACAACUCUCUAGUUACUUCUAAGAAAAUUGCAGACAAGUAUGAGAGGAUGAUUAAAGCAAACCCACAAUGGUCUAUUCAGAGCAUUAGAGAAACAGUCCAAGAAGAAAUGUUUGCUGAUGUCAGUGUUUCAAAGAUCAAGAGAGCUAAGUCAAUUGUCAUGCAGAGGAUGUAUGAUGCCACCAAGGGUGAAUAUGCAAUGGUGUUUGAUUACCAGCUAGAGCUGCUUAGGAGCAAUCCAGGAAGCACUGUGGUAGUUAAGUUAGAUACUGAAGAGGCAGAGCCUACAUUUAUGAGGUUUUAUGUCUGCUUCGAUGCUUGCAAGAAGGGGUUCCUUGCUGGAUGCAGGAAGGUUAUUGGAUUUGAUGGAUGCUUUUUCAAGGGCCUGACCAAUGGAGAACUGUUAUGUGCUCUAGGAAGAGAUGCCAACAAUCAAAUGUACCUAAUUGCAUGGGCCGUGGUAGAGAGAGACUAAAGACUCCUGGGACUUUUUUCUAGCUUUACUCAGUGCAGAUCUGAAGUUUGGAGAUGGAACUGGUUGGGUUUUCAUUUCUGAUCAGCAAAAAGGUCUUAUCAAUGCUGUCAACAAGUGGGCUCCUAGAGUAGAGCAUAGGAUGUGUGCUAGGCAUAUCUAUGCCAAUUGGAGGAAAAAAUUCACCAAUAAGAAGUAUCAGAAGCUGUUUUGGAGGUGUGCCAAGUCCUCAUCUAUGAAUCUCUUCAACUACAACUUGAACAAGCUCAGGGCUGAGACACCUAAAGGUGCUGAUGCAAUUAUGCAGAUAGAUCCUAAGCAUUGGAGUAGGGCCUGGUUCAAACUAGGUUCUUGCUGUGACUCAGUGGAUAAUAACAUGUGUGAGUGCUUCAACCACUGGAUUUUGAAAGCAAGAUUCUUGCCAAUAAUCAGCAUGCUUGAAGGCAUAAGGCGCCAGGUAAUGGUCAGGAUACAUGAAAAUAGGACCAAGGCUGAAAGGUGGACUGGUCCAAUCUGUCCAAACACCUACAAGAAGUUAAUGACUUACAUUACAGCUAGUGGUUUCUGUCAUGCAAUUAGUAAUGGCCAAAACUGUUUUGAAGUAACAUACUGGGAUCAUAGGUUUUCUGUGAACUUGGAGGAAAAGACAUGUUCUUGUAGGUUCUGGCAGUUAUCUGGUCUGCCAUGCCCUCAUGCAAUUUCUUGCAUCUAUGUAGCAUCCAAGGCUGUGGAGGAUUAUGUAGCCAAGUGUUAUUUUUUUGAGGAAUACAAUAAGACAUAUGCCCACUGUCUUCAACCUGUUGAAGGUAGGGAAUUCUGGCCAGUAUCAGACAGGGCUAAGCCUUUGCCACCAAAGUAUGUUAGAAUGCCAGGAAGGCCAAAGAAGGAGAGGAAAAGGCAGGAUGGGGAGAAAAAAAGCCAAGUCGUGGUAAGCUAUCCAAACAUGGUACAGUUGUGAGGUGCAGAGUUUGCAAAGGGAUUGGACACAACCGGACAACUUGCAGCAGGAAGACAGGAAGUGGAGGUAGUGGCACCGGAGCUAAUGUCAGUGGUGGAGGCCAAGUACCUAGUGGCAGUGCUAGGGGAUCUCAUCAUGCAAGAGGAGGUAGUACCAGUGGAACUAGAGGAAAUGACUCUCAUUCAACUAGAGCAAGGACUGGUAAUUCCAAGAGGAAGGCAACACCUUCUUCUACAUCAGUGUCCACCAAAAGGCAUUGCUCCCAGUUGUCUGUUGAUUGCAAUGUAAGUAAAGUAAGUACAAUUUUGUACGAAGAUACUAUAGUUCCAAAUGGGUAACAAUCUAUUUGUACUCUGCAGACUGUGAACAAUUCCAUGUCUUCAUCAGCUAAGAUGACCACAAGACUCAAGCAAGGAGGUCAAGCUAAGGUCACUUUAGAGGCCACUGCACCUGGUAUGCCUGGAAGGCAUUCAAAAGCAACUGUGCAACUUUCUGGGCCAUCGAGCUCAAAGGUUGAGGUCUCAGCUAUAGGACCACACAGGAAAAAAAGUGCAAGGACAACACCAAGAGGAUCAGGCACAACACCAACUUUACUGCUGCAAGGAGCACUACCUUGAAGAAUAAACCAUUUCUGUCAUUGUCAUGUCACAAGGAAACUAUGUUUUCUUUUAGAACAAUUUGUCAUUUGUGUGGUGAACCAUGAGAUGUUGUGAACCAUGUCAUGUUGUGCUAAAACAAUUUGUCAUUUGUUUGGUGAACCAUGUGAUGCUGUGAACCAUGUCAUGUUGUGAUAAAACAAUUUGGCAUUCGUGUGGUCAUUCUAAUGUCUAUGAAUUUAGUCAUCAGCAUUGCAAGUACAGAUUGAACUGCCACAAACUAGGAUAAUUCUCAUAGCCGAAUAAGACAUACACAGUACACAAAUGCCAAAUAAGUCUUACAUUCAACGGCCACACACAGAAACUACAUACUUAAUACAUCCUACAUACUAAUUACUAAGCUUCCAAAAAGCAGAAACUAAUCCAACGCACACAACAAGAGCAAACAACAGGAACUUCCUCUCCUUCUGCAGCUUCACAAUCCUGGAUUCCAGCUGAGCCCUUGCAUCCAAAACACCCACCAUCUGACCUUGCAUAGUGGCGACAUCCCUACUGGCAUCAACAAACAUUUGUCUCCUAUCUUCAUUGAACUUGAUAGCGGCUUCCAACUGUCCCUGCAACCUUUGAUUCUCCCUCCCAGCAGCUUCCAACUGACCCUGCAGCCUCUGAUUCUCCAUGGUAGCAGCAUCCAAAGCUCUUGCAUGAUGAGUUCGGGCCUCUUCAAGUCCCCAUUCGGCUGCAAGAGUUUCACGCUUCCAAUACUUCACUGCAUCGCGCAAAUCAAGCAACAACUGCUUCAUGAACCCCAUGGUUGGCUCAUCCACCCAGCGGUAAAAAUCACAACCACCCUCCUACGCAGAAAAACGAAAUCUGAGAUCCAUUGACUCAAGGGGUCCUACAGCAUGUGAAUCGAAGACAAAUAUGCAAGACAAAUUGACCUAAAGUUUGAAGGAAAUCCAAGUUUGAACUUACUCGAGCACGCGCACACUUCUGAAACCUCAUCCCUGGGUUCAAAUCACUCCAAGAGAUGAACUGAGCGGCUUUGACACCACAUUUACAGUUCACUGCAGGGGUGUACUCCAGAGGAGCUUCACGGUAUGGGAUGGGGGACGCGGAUUGGAGGUUCCGGCGCCAAUACUCUGCCGCUUGGCCUGCACUGCGGCUGGAAGAGCUUGAGCUCGCCAUUUGAGUCGGGGGAGCUCUCCACAACAGAUCUGGAGGGCCUCUCGUCGGCGGCGGCGGAGGAGGAGGAAGACAGAAUGGUGGGGGUGAGAGACGGGCUGAAUGGGCCAGCCUGUUUAAGCAAUGCUGCAAGCCUACGUGGCGUCCACCGUGUUCAAUGUUGCCACCGUGGCAAGCAAAACCAGGGUCCGCUGCCCAAAACCGGACUCAGGGACUAAAGUUGGACCAGUGUGAAAGAUGAGAGACCAAGACUAGACGGUUUCAGAGUUGGCGGCUAAAAUUAAACUCGGUCGAUAGUUGAGGGGCCAAAUAUGGACUUAAUCCAUUUGAGAAAUAAGGGAAUAAUAUGUAGAGUACUGCCACGUUACCAGAGAUAAGACCCAGAUUAAGGGGGUGUUGGAGACUGCUCUUCUCUACGUUUUCUAGCUCUGCUCCACGGUUUUUAGCCAAACGAUUUCAGCUCCACGCACUCAAUUCGAGAAAAAAGGAUGGAGUUGUGAGAGCACCUAAAGAGGUACUCCACAAACCUCAGUUUUUUAUGGAGCUGAUCCACAGUGAAAUUUGUGGAGCAGAGUUUGUGGAGCAGUCCCAAACACCCUCUAAUACCUUUUCUGAUAGAUGAAACCCCUGAUGAGAUUGGUAUUAAUUUGUGAGUGUAGUUGUCAGUGCCUCAAUGGUCUGACAUAACUGUAAUUCAUUUGUCUACCAAUAGUUUCACACUAGGAUGUUCUUCAUUAAGUGUUGGGCUUUCUUUCUAACAGCUUACUGCUCUAUUAUUAUCUUCUACAAGAUUAUACGCUGACUUCUUCCCAUACCUGUGGAUGGGAACAUAACUUGUUUUGCAGGUUAUGUGAGGAAAAUUACAUUUCGUGAUGACAUUCAAAAGAUAGACGACCUAGACAGUGGCAAACUACCAUAGUUUGAAAGGUUUGAAGUCAUUCGGCUGCUGUAGUUUUGUAACUGCUGCCGAAUAGCUUGUGCUCACAACCUACAAAUUGACCAAUGAUUCUUUCCAGUGCAUAGUCUACUGUUCAGGAUGAUACAUGGAGGGGUCGUUCUUUUAAGUAUUGUAAACUUUGCGUUAAAAAAAAAACAUUGUAAACUUAGCAAUGGUGCCUAAUAAUUGUACUCAUUUUACCUCUGUUGUUUGCUUACAGAGAUGAUAACGAUCGAUAUUCAGAAAAGAAAAUAAUAGAUUUCAAGGGGAUUCUUCCCUCGGCUGUAUAUAUAUAAAACCUUUUUGGUUUGCUGUACGUUCCCAAGCAGCUUCGUAUUAGAAUCUUAUACUUCGCACGUUGGCAUGGUCCAUCUGUUGCCCUCCUUUCUGGUUUGAGAUUGCCUACGCUGCAGGUUCUGGAGGAAUCCCACAUUCUGAAACUUUCUGCAGCUCUCAGGCAUAUGUAUUAUCGCAAACUUUGCUGAUGGCAGGCGACAUAUAAACUUUGACGAAGGGCAAGCUAGCCAGCAGCUGACCAAUUAUUCAUCGCAAAAAUGUCUCAUCUGAGCAUCCUCUCCUUCAAGUACAAUCUCGCGAAGCUCCGGUCCAAGGCCGGCCGGCCAAUUGGGCGGCCGCUGUCGGCCAGGGACCGCCAGUACUCCGACCUGAGCACCUACAAGCCCGACGACGAGGAGAUGAAGAAAGUUUUCAGCAUGAUAGCUGGCCAAUCCCACGGGAAGAUCAGCAAGAAAGACCUGCAGCUGCUGCUGGAGAGGUUCGGGAAGGCGGACGCCGCCGCCGAGGCCCGGCGGAUGAUGUGCGUCGCGGACCACAACAAGGACGGGUACAUGGACCUGGAGGAGUUCAUGGAGGUGCACCGGAACGGCGUGCAGCUCGGGGACAUCCGUCGGGCCUUCUUCGUGUUCGACAGGAACGGGGACGGCAGGAUCAGCGCGGAGGAGGUCAUGACGGUGCUGUGCAACCUCGGGCAGAGCUGCAGCCUGGAUGACUGCCGGAAGAUGGUGAGGGAGGUCGACAGGAACGGCGAUGGCUUCGUGGACAUGGACGAGUUCAUGGUCAUGAUGACUCGCCCGCGGAGGAAGCCGUGAGCACCGAGCUUGCUUAGCUUCCGUGCACGUCGUGAUGUAAAUAUGCCAUGCAAUUCAUAUCCUGAAUAAUAUGAUGAUCAGAUUGAAAUCAGCUAUCUUCUCUCCUGUCAUCUGUCACUGCUCUUUGCAGUUGCUCGUUUGCUCUGCACAGUAGAAUUCCCGCUGCAACAACAGUUGCUUCUUCAUCCGGAAGAACACAGAAUGGUAGUACACACUAGCGAUUACAGUCUUGUCGAUGACCUGACAACUUGCCGUGUCUGACGUAGAGAUGAAUCCAAUAAAGCUACUGAAACAAAUAAUCGGUGCCCAUGAAACUUUAACCUUUUUUUUGACAAAAAUGGGGGGGGGGGGGGGGGGGGGGGGGGUUCCCCACCUUGAGAUCAAUAUAAUCGAGAGUUCUCCAGCAAACUGGAGUUAACAGAGAUACACGAAAGAAGAAAAUCACGCCAGCCGACUGUUUACAAGAGUUACAUUAGUAAGACGUUUACGCCAAAUUAAUGGAGAACUUGAGUUAAUGCCCAUGAAACUUUACCAAAAGUUUCAAAGUCAAUGCAAAGGUUGUAGGCUUGUAGCGCAUGCAUGGCAAGUUGAAACCUAACACGGGCUGUUAUCCUCCUUGCUGAGUUGUCGUUAUGCUCUUUUUUACGUUUUUUUUGUAGGGUUCGUUUCAACUUUAUAUUACAUUUUCUUAUUAAUAAAUAUAUGUACUCCUUAUGUUAAAAAAAAUCUAAUACUCCAUUAAUUUGUUCCAAAUGGUAAAUUGUCUUGGCAUUUUUAGUUACAUAUCUUUUAAUUGCUAUGGACAUAGAUAUAUACUAUAUCUUGAUAUAUAUACUAUCUCUCUAGAAAAAUAUUUUCUUUUAUAUUAAUAUAUAAUGGAAAAACUUUUGCUGUUUUUUCUUAUAAUAAAAGGAUAAAAUGACUAAUAAUUUGGAACGGAACAGAGUGAGCACAACUUUCUUCAAGCAGCACCAAGCCGGUACCACGAGAAAAACAAAGCGUGUACGGUUGCAGAGUUUAGACGAGAGGGCAAUAAUGCAAGGCCUUUCAGCAUCCUAUUCCAUCUCCUUUUAACAAGAUAGCACUAUACAGUGUACAGUAUGCCCGAUUUUCCUCUCUUUGCAGAUUCCAACUGCACAUUGUGCGGCUGCCUGUGCAUGGUUUACCCACGACACCAUCAAUCAGCUUGCUGGAUGAUGAAUGCAGAAGCUCAUAUCUUCAGCUUUUAAUUUUGUUCUUUUUCAGCCACUUGGGUGCAGAUUCUUGCUCCAUUCAACGAGUAGUGCACGAGGAUCUAGACGCCCCCAUCUGAUCGGCGCGCGAUACAGAUGCCGUUGUGCUCUUGGACCUGGCAGUGGCCUAUUUGUCGACCACCAAAUCUGCGUAGAGAAUAAGCUAAGCAGCAAAAGGUGCCAACAAAGCUAGCUAGGCAGGGGUAAGAUACAAUACAAGCCGUGAUAAACGUUACCCCCAGAAAAAAGUGACGGCUGCAGGUGUUGUAUCGCACGCAACAGCCUUGCCAAAUUGGCUUGCUUAUAUAAGAGCAAUAGGUCUCAACAAGUUGCUGCACACACACACAUACAGGAAGAAAGGGGUAUAGGUCAUUUGCAGAGGAGCUAGCUUUUUUUGUGCUGGUAGUGUUGUGAGACGCUCCUGCUGCUGCUGCUGCCGCCGCCGCCGCCGCUCGACCGAUCGAUGGCGAUCAAGAGCAUGACGGUGGCACCGACGACGACGCGGUCGCUGGACGCGGACAUGACGGUGGACGAGUUCAAGGAGUGGCUGCGGCGGUUCGACACGGACCGGGACGGGCGCAUCAGCCGCGAGGAGCUGCGGCGCGCCAUGCGCGCCAUCCGCGCCCGGUUCUCGGGGUGG
rnacentral:lncRNA from 1 species